rnacentral:lncRNA from 1 species
CAACGAUAAGGCUCAAUCUCCCUCAUCGUCUCCCUCCCAAUCACCAUCCUCCACUCCUCCCCCAUCCUCCACUAAACCACCAUCAUCAACCCCAGCAGCCUCUGCCAAAACACCAUCCGCCACCCCAGCAGCGACCCCAUCCGCCACCCAAGCAGCUACCCCAUCCGCCUCCUCUAAGGCUCCCAAGUCUUCGGAUGCAUCCUCCUCUCCAUCCUCCGCCCCCACCACCUCCACCUCCUCCUCCUCCCCAUCCUCCUCCCCAUCAAGCUCUACAUCAUCCUCCUCCUCCUCCUCCUCCCCAUCCUCCUCCCCAUCCUCCUCCCCAUCCAGCUCUACAUCAUCCGACUCUCCACCCUCCCCACCCACCUCCACUCCCGCCUCCAGCCCAUCCACCUCCGACACCUCGGUUGCUCCCUCCGAGUCGACUACUUCUGCUGAGGCUCCCGCCCCAUCUGGAGCCGCCGUGAACAGAGGCUUCGCUGCCGGAUCCGUGGCCGCCGUCGUCAUUGCGGCGUCGUUCUUGGCCUAGAUGUGCUUUGCGGACGAGGCCUUUUUCCGCUGUUGGGUCACCGAGAGAGAGAUUCGGCGGGCGGAUCUUGAGUUUCGUAUAUUAGCGGGUAGAGUUUAACUACUAUUUUUGGUUUUAUAGUUGUUAUAGAGUGGGUUAUUAUUGGUGAUGGAGAUAUUAUUGGACGGUGUUGAUUUGAUCGGACGGGGGUUCUGCGGCUGAUGAUUUACUCCAUCGACCUUAAUUAUUAAUUAUAAUUAUUAUUAUUACUUGAUCAUUCCCGUUGCUAAUGAUGAUGACUAUGGAAAUUCUUUUGUUAUGAUCUAAUGAUAUAUAUCAUUAAUUAUAUCUAAUUCGUUGAGUUUAAUAUCUUUGAUUUAAGCAUGAAAAAUGCUAAGAGACUCUUAUACAGUAUUUACAUUAAUUUUCGUGCUUAUAUUAUAAAAUAAUAUGUUAAAAAUAUGAGUUAAUAAAGAAUUUAUGAACAAUCUUAUUUUUAAAAAAUACUUUCUUUCUUUUUUUCAUUUUUUUUUGUGUGUAAAAGAGAAAAUUGGACUCUUUAACUCAUUGGAUAACUCUAGAGGAUAGAAUUGAGUAAUGCUAAGAAGACAAUAUUUGAAGACAAUAUUUUAUAAACUAAAUUAUAUGGAGGGUUAUGAUUAGAUUAUUACUUAAGUAUUAUAAAUAUGCUCAUUUUCAAUCGGUGAUAUAUUAUUUAAUUUGUAAAUUUUAUUUACAAAGUUUGUCUUCCUAACAUUACUAUCUGAGAAGCACAUUAGAUUGCUUCGUUUGAAUAAUUAAACAAUGUGGGUAAAGAUUUUAAAAGCCUUCGUUUAUCAUUUACUUAUUAAUGGAAAUGAAUUUUCUUUGGAUCUUUUUCUACUUAAUCCAUCUAGUUCGAGAUCUUGACAGUUAAAAUUUGAUCCAACGAUUACAAAUAAGAAACUCUCUUUAAAAAUAAUAAUAGUAGUAACCGUUAGAUUAAAUUUUAACAACAUGAAUUCCAGGUGGAAAGAGAUCCUUGAAUUGAUUUGGUUUUUGUCGUUUGGUGAAGAAAAAGUAGAGCAACGGUCUCGAGAGCCACGUGGUUUGCGACAAACUGACAUGCAAAAAGCAACCCAUUAGCUUUGAGAAGAGGGUAGCUAGGUUAUGCUGGUUUAGUAUUAUUAAAUUUGUUAGACCUUUCGAUUUUAUAAAUUUGAACAGGCUACUAAAAAAAUGAAUAGAAUUUAUUGUUUAUGGUCGAAAUUGUUCAUAUCACAAAUCAUUCUAUAAAAACAAAUGAAUGAAAUUGGUAAAAAUAUUACGAACCGUCUAUAUAUUUGCUAUAAUAGAUUGACUAAAUGAUCUAACUUUUAGUUUAUUUUUUGCAAAGAUGAUAUUUAUAAAGUGAUUCAUAAUAUAAAUAAUUAUGACCAUAAUCACGAAACAGUUGAAUAUCAGAGUGCGGAAUGAAUAAGACUAACAAAAUAAUAAGAAUAUUAUUAAACUAACUGAGAAUGCCGAAACGGCUAUAAAACUCUAAGGGGGCGUUUGUUUGCCAUCGUUAGCUCUCACUGGACUGCACUGGACUAACAGUCAGUGUAGUCCCAUGUUUGGUGUAGCAAGGGACUAAGUUAAAUGGGAUAAAGGGGGACUCGCUUUCACUUAGUCCCUCACUAGGAGGUCUUAGUGAGACCCUCCAAAAGGCGUCGAACUAGUAAGCCCGUCAGCUUCGCUUCGUCUCCGUCUGUUGCGUCUGCAUCCUGCUUCAUCUGCUUUUAAUCCUUUCCCGCAUGAUUUUUCCUCUCUGCCUCUCCCUUGCCUUAUCUGUUUGGACUGACUGCCCCACCCACCCCUAUAAAUCACAAAAUUCGAUUACUUACCACCCACCAAUCGGUCAGCUCGAUCCACAGCCCAUAUUGAUGUCUCCCAAAUGCCUCCCACCUCCUCAAUGCCUCCCAGAUCAUCCUCCGCGACCUCCAAUUUCAUUACCUCGCUGCCAAGUGCUCUCUCUCUCACUGCUGAAAUUAGGAAAUGGAUUCCCUUUUUUGCUGAUUUGGUUCAAUGUUUUGCUUGAAAUUGGUUUUCCAUUUGUCGAUUUUUGGAUUUUGUGGUUGGGUUUUGGUUCACUUUGACUGCUGAUGCCUGGGCGAAUUGAGAGCAUACUCCAGGAAUUGUCUUUGGCAUCACUUACUAUCUCUUUCAAUUUGUGGCUCAAUACAAUUUUUGGGCUCACAUUUUAGAACCUCAGAUGGCGACGGACAAAAGGAUUACAAUACAAUUUUUUCCCUAAUUUUAUUUUUUUAUUUUUUUAUUGGGUGGCUUUGUGAGAAAUUUAUUAUUAUGUUUUAAUUCUGAGAAAUUGUUUGGUUUUGUUUGAAUUGGGCAGGUAGAGAAAAGUGGAUUUAGUUAAUUUCAAUAAUAUCUUUAAUAAAAAAGCAAUUAAAAUAUAACAGUAAUGUAGUUCUAGUCUGAGCAAACACCAAACUGGUGACAAUAUUGUUUUCAUUAUCCUGCUUCUUAGUUCGACACUACACCAAACGCUUCACUAAGCUAGUCCAGCUUAGUCUAGUCUAAGCCAAUCCAGCUUAGUCCCUGAAGCUAGUCCAGUCCGAGACAGUCCGGUGCAACAAACGCACCCUAAGAGACUACAUUGUGAAUGACUUGAUAUUCUACGAGCUACAAAGCAUCAUAUAUAUAGAGAACUAACAUAACCCUAAUAAGCAAGAAAGCAAAACUCUAAUACUAAUGGGCUAAGCCCAAAUUCAAACAAUAAAAUAAUCCUAAAUUCCAACACCCCUCGUCAAACUCAUGACGGUACACUUCAUGAGUUUGCCAACAAGCAGAUGUGGAUGCAAGCUUCGUUAGGUGAACAAAAUAAGGCAAGCUCUGUUAGACGAACACGACAAGGCAAGCAAACGAGCAAUCAAAUGAGCAAACGAACAAUCCAGGCUUCAAUCAACAAGGCCCAACCCAAGGCCUCCAAACAAAUCAUAAUAGCCCAACAAAUUGUGAGCUCCAUGCUUUUUUUUCUUUAUUUCCUUUUUUCCUGUUUUCUUUUUCUAUUUUUCGGCUUCUGUUUCCUUUUUCCCUUCUUCUAUUUGGGCAGUGUUGUCCAGAGAAAACAAAUCCGAGUGCAGGUAUGGAAUCUCAAUUUUGGGAUUCUUGAUGCGAUGGGAUAGCAGCGACGGUGAAGUGUAGAUCAAACAGGCAGCGAGGAUGCAGGUACGAUGCGAAGGUAGCGCAGUCAGUGAUGGGUAGAUGAUUUCACGGGUCUGGUGCGGAGGUGCAGGUGGUGCGGGUCAGAUCAAAGGAUGUGGAUGCAGUGCAGGAAACGGUGUGGUGAUACGGCUUGUGUUGGAUUGCAGGUCGGGUUCUACUGUAGAAGAAGACAAUGACGUGAUGCAGCAAACAGAUUCAGGCGGCGAAAUUUCAGGCAAUGGCAGUCGCAUGAUUGGAUGGCUUAGCGGCAGGGUGGAUUCGGACAGCAGAUGUGCUAGGUUUCUGGUUGCAGCGGCAGUAUGCAGAUGGGGUUUGCCGAUUUGGGUGAGAGUCAUCCAGGCAGCCCUGGAUGCGGUGAUGCAGCGGUGGGGCUGAAGGCUUGGCGCGACUCCGGCUCCAAACUUCAACAGAUUUUUUAUUUUUUUUUAAAACGACAAACAAAGGUUAACCCAAACCAAAAAACAAAAAGUUUCACAGAAUGAAACUGGACAAAACAAACAACGGAAUAGACAAAUUGAUACGAACAAAACAGAAGCAGAUUAAAUCUCGAAGUAUCAAACCUGCUCUGAUACCAAGUUGAAUAUCAAAGUGCGGAACGAACAAGACUAACAAAAUAAUAAGAAUAUUAUUAAACUAACUGAGAAUGCCGAAACGGCUACAAAACCCUAAGAGACUACAUUGUGAAUGACUUCAUAUAUAUAUAAUAUAUAGAGAAUUAACCUAACUCUAAUAAGUAAGAGAACAAAACCCUAAUACUAAUGGGCUAAGCCCAAAUUCAAAUAAUAAAAUAAUCUUAAAUUCCAACAUAAACUCUGUAAUGUGAUUUGAUGACAGUUCAUGUUGCUUAAAAAUGUGCAAUUAUAUUCCUCCAGUUUAGGAGAAAAACCUUAGUAGUGUACGCUCCUCUCACAAUGUUGCGUUGGUCUUACUCGGUAUGAAAGUUUAACAAGUGCAUGAAAAUUGUAUUUUGAUAUCACUUUACAUUAUGUUAUAUUUUAUGGGUGAAAAAUGACAAUGAGUGAGAUAACAAGACAUGUGGAACACAUCCAAAACUGUUAAUAUUGUGUUUGGGCCCAAAAUAACAGUUUGGGCCGAGUGUAGGGUCAUUCUCGGCCCGGGAGGCCUUGCGACAAGAAUACCACGGAUCGUUCAGUACGUGGGCCUCCAAACCUAGGUCGGCUAGGUCAUAACGCAAGAGGUCGAAUCCUAGUGCAAUAAGGAGUCUCGGCAGGACCCGGAAGCGAAUCCGGCUCAGGUAAAGGACUAGGUUCACAGUCCUAGUGAAGGUAGGACUGGUCGAGUUGAUGCUGAUCAGGGAAAGAAAACCUAGUCCGAGUAGGUUUUUAACUCGACCUUGGGGGGAGCCAUCGCUAUAAAUAGAAGAGGUUGCACAUCAUUCAAGCCCCUGCAAAUCAAUACAAAAUUGCCCUGCGCAAACUCUCACAACUUGUGAUUUUUCUUUUUCCUUUUUCGCUAACACAUCUUCCGUUGGCAUCAACAACACUGUGAAAGCAACCGGUGAUAUCUUAAGUCGGCAUAGAUAGCUCUGCCACCAUAGAAUCGAUCGGUCUUGCAGUAUCUUCCGUUGGCAUCAACAGCACUGCGGCGAGAACGGUUGAUUACCUAUCCAAGUCUCGGUCGAGAAGGGUUUCUGAACCCUUAUUGGUCGAGGUCAUCUCAUCAGCCUUCUCGGCGAAGUGAGGUGUUACAGUUAUUACAUUCGGCACAUUGAAAGCCGAAUUUGAUAUUGAACUUCGUAAGAAUAGUAACCUUGUCUUCAGGUUUGAGAGCCCAAGAGGCCGAGAUGUGUUCCUUUCUCGGCCGCAAUCGCAAGACGCAGAAGUCAGUAGCGCGACUCAACGCAACAUCAACAAAUUUACUCCUCGGCCGAGCUCGGCCGACGAGUUGGCACGCCCCGCAUUCACCGAAGGACGUAGUUAGCUCAUUAAUUACUCGGCCUGCGCGCCACGUAGGCUUUGUAGUUUUUAGGGUCAAUAUAUUGCUAUUUUACUAUAUAAACGUCAUAAUCGAAAUUAUUAUCUCGUUAUUAUAAUUUAAAUAUCACCUCGUGAACUUAGUUAGUGUUUUAGUUUGGAGGUAUUACUCUACAUUUGUAAGUAAGAAGUUUUAAAUUCAAAUUUUAUGAAUGUUUAUGCUAAUUUAUUCUCUCCCAUAAAAAUAUGUCAUUGUUUGAAACAAAAAAAACCCAUCUCUGGAGAAUUCAUUCAAUUUGAUGAGGAUUGUUUAAUCAUCCAUCUAAAUUAAUAAAUUAAUUAACAAUUCAAUUGUAAGGAUGCUACUUAUUAUUACAAUUGUACUGUCAAUUUGUUCGACACACACUGAUGACUAAAUUGUUUUUGAAUUAAAUAAUUAUUUUCAAAUGUCAUAAAUUUAAGUGAUGAUAAAAAAAAUGAUUGAUUUUGACUAUAACGUUUGUAUGAUAAAACGAUGUCACAUUAGGCCGGGAAGAAAGAUUUUCGUUCGUAGCGGAGGAGGAAAGUAUUAUUCAUAUUGAAAUGAGCUUGUGGAAUGAGCCCAAGCUUAUGGUUGGGAAAGCAAUGAGCCACAAAUGGUUCCAAUUUGCAGCCUUAAGAUGUAUUUAAUGAACUUGUUUUAAUAUCAAGUGGUGAACAGACAACUGCUUAUCAAUAGGAAGACGUUCUUCUUUACAGAUAAAUUACAAUUUGAAAUAUGCACAUAAAUAUUUAUUUGGUAAUUUUAAUUAGUUAAGUGAUGAGAUUUCUGAGAUUGUGGUUUGCAUGUUACAAUUCUAAUAGAAAAUGUAGGAUAUUAACACCUUAUAUAACUUAUCCCUUCUAAUUUUCCAAAAAUAUAAAAUUCCUUUGUACAUACUUUCAUUUCUUACUUUGACAUAACUUGAAUUUAUUAGUUUACUUUCAUUUCAUAAUUUGGUGUACUAGUUUGUGCAUCCAAUGGGUUUCAGUUCAGCUUGUGUGUCACAAUUGGGCUCCGACCAAUUCGGCCUUGUUUCCAAUGGGUCAAUGGCCCAGCUCGUUGCCUCUGUCAUUUUUAUUUCAUUUUCUCUUUACACCCAUCACAUUUCAAAGAAUUCAAAAGUUUUCAAUUUGAACUUUUUAUUCACUCACGUAAUUAUUAAUAAUUUUCUUUUGGUAAAUGAUGUUUGUUGAAUUACUCCAAGGUUAUUUUUCUUUUUUAAAUUUUCAUAUUUUUAAUAUUUUUAAUAUCAAAUUUCGAUGAACUACCAAAAUAAAAUCAGGAAUGAGAUUCAUUAUCGCUUACGUUUGGAAUGUUUACUUGCAUUAUAUUACAUUAAAAGGGUUGUUGAGUGAGAUGGGUUAGGGAAUCAUGGCCCUUCAAAAGCGAAGUGCAUAAUAUAUAUGAACCCUCAAUUAUGCUACAUAAAUGUAUCAUGGACCCUAAAAAAUUAUAAAAUCGGACUAAAUUAUAACAUAAGAAACUCAGAGUACUUAAAAUUAAACAAGAAGAAAUAAAAUGGCACUGCCUCUAUCCUGGCACUUAGAGUGAUAUCAUCUCACCAACCGGCCAAACUUAAGAAAGAAGGAACAUACAAAAACCAACCAAACUAAUGACACUCCACAAAGCCACAACAAGAGAGCUAGAGUGGCUAAUCCCAACACCAGUUGUUGAGGAUGUGGUACUUGCAGGGGUUGUAACUGUAGAGUUACCGCCGGAACCACCGGAUGCUGAAUUACUGGAUGGUGCUGCGGUUGAUCCUGACCCUACAGACACAGAAAGCUUCAUCCCCAUACCGCAAUGCCCAAUCGUAGCGCAAAUGUAGUUAUGAGUCCCGGCAGUCUUGAGGAGGAUGGUGGUGGCUCCGCUGCUAUCACUUGUAAUUGAAUUUCCCACAGUGCAUGUUUUGUAGUCACUAGCAGUCACUUCAUCCACCGUGUGUCCACUUCCAUAGUUGAAAACUACCAUGUAACAAAAAUUUAGGAAAAAUAUACACAAUUAGCUAAAACAUAACCAAAGUGGGGGUGCUUUUGUUCACUAGAUAUCUGAUACGUUAUUAGACCAUAAUUUUCACGCCUACGUAAUUCUCAAACCAUACUUUAAAACAAGAAUUUUCCUGAUCAACUAUUUAGAUUGAAAUCUUGUACGUAAUUCUCAAACUGUACUCAUUAAACAAGAGCUCCUCUAAUAAAUGGUCUAGAUGGAUAGUCUAUAUAUAACUUUCAAAUGGCACAUCAAAACAAGAAUUUAUCUUAUAGUCUGAUAGCAUAAACAUUUAUUUUGAAGCAUGUUCAUGAUAGUAUAAUUAAAGGGAUGUGAUAUCCACACACUCUAUUUUACUUCUUACACACCUUUUGAAUUUUUAGUCAUUGGAUUGAAUGAAUUGAAGAAGAUCAAUGGACAGAAAUUAUCAAGGAGUAUGUGAAAAGUAAAAUAGAGUGUGUGGAUAACACACCCCUAAUUAAAAGGGAAUAAGGAUUUUUACCUAGGCUGUCACCAACUUUAAAGGUCUUGCCACUAGUCCAAGUGGUAUAAUCCACUCCACUAGCCCACCCAGAGGAGUCUCCAACGGUGUAGACAGUGGCUACGCAGCUUGGCACCAUGACCAUGGCAACAACUAGGGCUAAACCCCCAAUUCUGGCCAUUUUUAAUGAGCUAGCCCAGCUACGACGAGAGAGAGAGGGAGAGAGAGAGAGGCCCUUUGUGAUGAUAAUUCUAUAGAGUGGAACUCACUUAUAUAAUAGCAUGAAGGGGGCUGGAGUAAGUAGGGUUUGGUCGACUUAAUUGAAAUGCAGCAUGUUCUGUCUAGGAACUCAUUGCAGGAUGACUUAAGUUAGACGUCAUACCUAAUGCUUUUCUUUUUAUUUCUUUUUGCAUUGUUAUUCUCCUAACUUUCAGAAGAAGAAAAAAAGAAAUAAAUGUGAUGAGAAAUAAGGCUAUCAUCAUCAAGGUUUGUUAUGAUAAAUAAUGUUCUAACUUCUAUCUUUUUGUUUUUUUUUUCAAACCCAAUUCUAAGCACCAAAGUGGACUAAUUAAAUUAAAAGAAAUGUGAUCGAAGGGGUGGUAUACUUUUAAUUUAUUAUAUGGCUUUGUUGGUAGACCUUUCAUCAUCUCUAUGAUGAUGGAUUGCGAAUUAAGAAAGGGUUAACACGUUAAGGUCAUAAGAGUUAUGAUUAAUGCCAAAUAGAAUCCAAUCUCCAAAGAUAAGCAUAUUUAGACACAAAAUAUUUGAAAGAUAAUCCACAUUUGAAAUUUUGUAGUCUUAUUGGAGAAAAAAAAAUGGGAGACUUUGGAUGCGGUCUCUAGUUAUGAAUAUUCUUUGACUGAAACCUUGUUGGUUUUCAAUUUUUGAUCGAAGUCCCUAAAAUUAAUGUGAUAAUUUAUUUCUGUGUACCCAUAUAAAUAAAUAAAUAAAAGAUAUUAGACUUAAUAACAUUAGUAAAUUUCUUUGAUUAAACUUGACAUAGAUACAUUCUCAAAUCAAAGAAAAAAGAAUGCACCCAUAUAAGUUUAAAAAUGGAUUAGAAAAAAAUUGAAUAGAUUUUAUACAGAAAAAAUGGUACGUUUUACAUAUAACAAAUUGAUAUAUUUAAUAAAUGAGUACAUUUUAAGAUUAAAAAUUUGAAAAAAAUUACAUGAAUGGGUACAUAUGACACACCCCGACCUAAUAUCGAGGCAUGUUGGCCGUCACGUGAGAGUGACGUAGCCAUGUGCACAGUGUGGAAACAAUAUUAAUAUAAGGAAUGCGAAUAAAUAAAAACCAACUGACUAAAACACUAGAGGAGAUAAAGUGAAAGUGCGAUAUUAAAGGUGACUACACACAACCAGAGCGUAGGUAGCCUAAGUGACGAAUACUAAUUACACAAUACCAAAGAUGGUCCUACAUUUGUGAUGAUCUGUCAGAACCACCGUCAAUUCCUCGUGAGCUACCAACGAGCACUCCAACCGGGGCGCAAAACAGAAAGUGUGAGUGGGCAAAAACAAAGCUUUUUCAAAACCACUCACUAUCAAAGUAGUAACCCCUGGGCCACUUGCUUAAAAAAAUUAUUUUAUAUAAAAUAAUAGAUAUAUAAUUAUAUAAUUAUAUCUAUAAACUAAGAAAAUCCGUUUUUUUUUAUCCAAUUGUUCAUUCCCGGGAAGAGGAAGAAACAUAUAGAGCAAUGGCCUCCUCUUUCCUUCCUUCCGCUCUUCCCGAAGUGGGCGAAUUGCAUGUAGAGAUCCGCAGGGGCUUAUAGUUUAAUUGGUUGAAACGUACCGCUCAUAACAGUUAUAUUGUAGGUUCGAGCCCUACUAAGCCUACCACCCCCUUCUCUGCACCCGAUACAAGGCAGUCGAAGUCCUUCCCAGAAAAUAACAUAUAUGAUUAUAUCCCAAAAUCAUAUUCAAAAAUAGCAAAUACGAUUACAGUAAUUAAGAAAGCCGUGAUAUUUAAUGACCCCAAAGGGUAAGGCCUCAAAUGAUCAGUAUUUUCGCCUGGAACUUGUCUCUGCAGUGUUGGAAAUGUGAAAAAAUCAUGUGAUGAUACUUACGGACAUUUCACAUGUUAAACUAAUCUAGUUUAACAUAUAAAGGGCAAAGAUUAUUGUUUGAGCCGUCUCAUAUAAAUGUUAUAUGCUUAAACGAUAAAGUCCAAGGAAUAUGUGAUUGGGAGAAUGUAAUCUAAUGAAGUUAGAUUCAUGAGACCAUUCUUUCGUAGACACAUCCUAAACGUUCCUGAUCAUAGGAUUGCCAAUUGGGCAUUGACAGUCCGUUAAGAUCAGUACGUACUAUGUCUUCUCUCAGGGAGAGUGACUAGUCUCGAGUCAUUGGUGUGUGUGACAUCAAGACAAGUACGUAGGUGCUCAAUAGAGAAUGAGUUCACUGAACGCGAUCAACGAAGAGUUCUCAUAUUCCAUGUCACAUGAGAACUCAUGGUUGGGAUAAUGCAAAGUAGUCCUUUGACCUGAGGCAUCAUAGUUGUCUUGUGGUUAAGUCCUUGAUCUUUGAUUAUGUCAAAGUCACCCACCAGGAGGGUGUCCACGGCAUCGUUGGGGUUAAGCCACUUAGCUAUGGAGACAAGUGAAUGCGCAACAAGGGAUCUCUAACCUUCAAACCGUUUGAGGGAGAAUACUCUAUGAUAUGAUUUGAAUCUCUGGCCAGAGUAUGAAUGAGAUUUAGGGAAUGCGUUCCAAAUCACAUUCAAGGUAAUCAUAUAAGCACAAGACAUCACAUUGGAUAGUAGACAUGAGAAAAAACUAUCAAACCAAACAAUGUGGUCAAGAGUAUUAGAUUAGAGAAAGACCGUAUUGCAUUUGUAAUCCCGAACUGAAUAGGUUCUCUAACCUCUUCUGAUUAGCUUGGGUAACCAUGAUAUGCUGCUAGGUGUCACUCAUGGUUUGUGGAAGCCCUAAACGUGUAUAAUCACUAAAGGGAGAAUUGAAAAAAUAGUUUCAAUUCACAAUCGAUGUAAAAUGGUUUUAAUCGCCCACUGCCUCGCUAAAAGGAACCUAAUGGAUCGCACACCGUGAAAGGUGGAGAUUGGAAGAUUAAACGGAAAUGAGUAAGAAUGAUUAAAUGGUUUAAUCAUUUAUUUAUGGCAAGGAUUAAUUAAUAUGUUAAUUAAUCAAACGAAUAAGUUCGUUAAAGACUUCGGGAUAGUUUUGGACCUUAAGGCCCAAUGGGCUUCGAACGUCAAGCCCAUUAACUUAAGUUGUAUGACAAUUUAAUGAAUAAAGAUUCAUUAAAGCCCAAAAGCCCAAAAUCCCUAAAUGGCCGGCCAUGAUUUGAAUGAAUUAGGGUUUUUGGUUGUUUAGGUCACUUAAAGAAGUGACUAUAUAAAUGACUUUAUAGCCAAAUAUUCAUUAAGUGAAAUAAGGGUUUAUUUUUGGGGAAAAUUGGUGAGAAUUGUCUCUCCAUUUUCUCUCUAAAGAGGCCAACACCUUGGAGGGUACAUCUAGCAAUCCUACUACUCCAAGGUCACUCAUUUCUUCUACAAUCUAAACCUUGGUGAAGAGACUUAGAGGUUCUCAAUUUUGGGAACUUGGAGAACCUAUUCUUCCAUCCAAAUCCAUGGAUCUAAGAAGCAAGGAAUGAAGGCCCUAUCUCUUUGGGUGAUUAGCCUUUGCUUAUGCAAAGAGGAAUCUACAAAGGUAUUAAUUUCAACUCACUUUGUUUUGAGUUGAUUAUUGGUUCACCAAUCUACUAGGCUUUGAAUUUCAUGGUAAUGUUUUGUUUUUUGAGUGCAUGCAAGCAUGAUUCCGCCUUUAAUUGUUAAUUGCAUGCUAUAUGAUGUUGCUCAAAUGAACAUGUUUUCACAAAAUAAUUCCUUCAAGUGGUAUCAGAGCCUAGGUCUAGUAGUUGGUGAAUCCUUUUGGGUUUUGUAGUUCAUAAGUUUGUGAUUUAAAAGUUGUAAUUGUUACAAGCUUUAUUCUUGCUUCUUUGAAUGUAAAUUUUGUUGGAAAAUUUGCCAUCUCAAAUGUUGUAGAUGUAGUUCAUAUGAGCAUGAAUAUUGGAGCUAAAAUUUGGUGCCAUGACUUUUUGGGAAAAUUCGGCCAAAUCCAAAGGGUGAAUUUUUUGGGUUCUUGUUUGACUUGUUAAAAGUGUUUUAAGUGACUUUUGGAACCCCUAAGUACCCUAGUUUGGUUAGAUGUUAUUUCCCUUAAGUUUGAAUGGUUUUGGAAUGUUUUUGGGUGAAAAAAGUUCAUGGAAAAAUUUGGGUUUUUCAUGGAUGUUCUUCAUUGUUCUUGAUGUUCUUGCCAAGAACAAAAAGGUUUGGUGUUUUGAUUCAAAGUUUUGAUUUAUUUCAUAAAGUUUAUGUGAUAUGUUUUUCAAAUGAUUUUAUGUAUUUAAAGUGUUAGAUAUUUGUAUAAAUGAUGAUUGAAAUAAUUGUUGAUUGAAUUAUUUCAAAACUUAUCUUAACAUACACUUGCAUGUUUUUGACAAAACUCACAAAUCAACACACACACCAACUCUUAUCCCUCCCAAAACCGGCCACUCCCUCAAAGGGAGUACUUUUUGGGGCUUUUAUGCAAUUACAUAAAGUUUUGAUACUUUUGUGUAUUUGCACUUUGGCCCAAAAGUUUACGUUUUUACGUUUAGGUCCAAAAAACGCUAAAGGACAAAUUGUUUUGCUCCUUUAAUGAAGUUUUUGCAUUUAUUAAAAUUUUGGGUUCUAGUUGUAUUUACAUGAAGUAGUGGACUUUUGUGUUUUUACAAAGUGACCCCAAAAGUUUUUGUUUUGCAAUAUGGCCCAAAAGUUGAGGUUAAUUGCAUGAUGGCCCAAAUUAGGAUGAGAACAAAAUUGUUUUGUCUCUUUAAAUGAGAAUUGGAUUUUCAUUUUGUUUAGCUCCAUUUAAAUCAAUUUUAUGGAUACAAAAACCAAAUGAAAAUGUUGCAUUCAAUUUAAUUAGUUAAAGUGUUAAUUAAUUAAAGGGUGAUUAUGAACCUAAGCCUAAUAUAAUUGAGCUAUGUGAAAGGCCGUUUCAAAUUUGUUUGAACCAUGGGAAUGUGUAGAUUAGAUUUUGGUUGUAAUUUGAUUUGAUCAAAUGUUGUAAAAGGGCAUAAGCUCUUCUUUACUUUAAAGUAAUUUGUUUUAUGCAAAUGUUGUAAUGAGCAUAAGCUCACCUUUACUUUGAAGUACUUCUUUCUUGCUUUAUAUUGAUAUGCAUGAAAAUGAAGUAGUUGGGUCCAACGCCCCUAAGACAACACGCCUUAAUGUGAUUAAACGCGUAACUAAAAUCAAUCACCAUCCCUAGACCGAGAUUCAACACAAGGCUCGUGUUGAAUCUAAACAAAGGUUCAUAGUCAUCCUAAGGCCCUAAGGCAACUAUAUAGUCCAUCAAAUGAAUGCAAAGUUUAUGUUAGUAGUAUCAUAUACUCUUGCUUUAAAAACCGUUUUAAAAGCAUAGUGGGAGUAUUAUAUACAACUAAAACAAUCAUAUGGACCAAUAGUUGUAAUAGGACCAAAAUUGUUUUAAUAGAGAUUAAAAUGUAUGUUUAUAUGUGAUGAGACCUAAAACCCUCAACCAAACCAAUUAUAAGUUGAUAAGCGUGAGAGUGCUUUAGAACAUCUCUUCGUGGCCUUCCACCGUGGUGGGCUCCAAUCGUUUAUGACUUGUACACCGGCUUCACCCUAUCAUGGGGGAGUACAAAGUGCAUGCUUAUACUCAGGAGGAAUCCAUAUACAUAUGAUGAGGUGAGUGUAGUAGGCAACGAGGAUAGCCAAUAUCGUAUCAUUCGUGAGGCUAUUCUUGAACCCCUUCACAAACUAAGCAUGGUGGGAAUGACUUAACUAAGUGCAAUGGAACCAAUAUCAUAUCAUUGUGAGGUUACAUUCUCUAGAGGCCAAAUAAGAUGGGUACUUGCAUUAGUUGCAAAUGAGUAAGCGUACUCUCUCAUUAUUAUUGUUGCUAGCCAAUACAUCGUAUCAUUCGUGAGGUGGGCUUGGUAAUAGUGAGCCUCCCAUAACCUACUAAGAGUUUCAUCCAAAACUCUCGAAUUCCAAUGAGGGAUAUGGAAUUUGCCAAAAAUAGUGGGUGGUGCUAUUUGAUUUAAAGACCCGAAUCAAAUGGCUUAAAAUCAAUCAAUUUAUAUUCGUUAUGUAUUUGUUUACCAAUAUAUUUGCAAACGCUAUCCAACACUUGACAAAUAAAAACCGAAUGUUUAGUUUCCGGACUUGGUACUACAAAACCAUAGAUUGUCUUUAAUGGCUUGUAAAUGUACCUAAGUAGUCUCAUCCUCACAAUCUUCCUAUUGAUAAUGUAUCAUUAGAAGAAUAUGUUAGAAAAGGUCUAUCAUAAAGAGGACAACACUUUUAAUGUCAUAAUUCUUCAAUUACAAAUUGUUGUAUGAAGAAAUAGGAGUUGCUUUGAACAACCCUUAGUCAAUGCAAACACUUAGUGCUUGUUUCUUUGUUAAAUGAACAAAGAACUUGAGAAGAAAGCACAAAGGCAUGGACACUUUAUGUGCCAUGAUUCUUCACUUACAAAUUGUUGUAUGAAGAAAUGAGAGUUGCCUUGUACAACUCUUGAAAGUUUGUAAUUAUGUUUAGAACAUAAUGGUUGGUUGACAAAAAUAGUCCAUUAACAUGGACUUAUGAUGAUUUUGAAUCAUUGAGUGUUGAAGUGAUAAACCACUUAACGAGACGGAAACUAGGCAAGGACUUCACCUUUGUGUCCCUAUCCUAAUGGUUCACUAAGUUUAUUGUAAACUAUGUAGUGAACAAUAACCACAUGCUCUCCAAAAUUGUUUGAUGUGUAUAACACAAUUGAAAAAGGUUUCAAGAGAGAUAGUGGGAGUUUAGGGACCAUGACUAAUUGUAGUCAAAGGUGAAAGUCAAAUGAAAGAAGAUAAAUAACUCCAAGGGAACAAACUUUCUUUAUGAAAGGAUGGACAUUGGAAGGGGUAUUUGCAAGAAAUGUCUUGCAAGUGUCAAGAACACACCUUUCGAAGGUGUUGUAAAUUGUUCUUGAAUAGUUCAAAACAGUUGGUUCUUCUACUUGAAUGCUUGAUUCCGUAUUAGUAACUAUGUUUUACAAUCGUUGUAAAAGUGUGACUAAUAAGAAGUAGAAGAUUAAUGAGAGAAGAGAAAGGUACUUCACAUUCGGAACGUGAAUCAAAUAUAGAUCUCUGCGAAAGCAGAUGGUACUUACUUCCUCAUAUGAACUACCAAAGAAAUUGAAAAAACAUAAGAUUGUCUUUACAUUCCAAUUUUAAGGAACUAAAUUCCGUCACUGUGUGAAAUGGAUAAAUGUUUUGUUUGACAAAACAUUGUUCUUUAUUAAUCAAUGAUUGGAUUAUGGUAAUCUAAUUAAUUAUCUCUAUAGUAGAGAUAAUAUGGUGGUGUUAACUGUUUAGAAUAUAAUGAUGCUUAAAACCCAAAAGGUUGCAAGGUAGUGACUAAUCCCAACUAAAGUUGUGAUACCUCUAAAACAUAAAUUACGAGUUGGUCAUAGAUGGAUGCUUUGGAUCGUUAGAUCCGGAUCCAAUACCUUCUUGUUAAAAUUGUAUAGAGGCGAAAUGUUUGAAUCUUUAUUCUUUUGGAAAGAAGAAAGAAUCACAAAGUUGUUGUUGAGGUUAAUUCACUUAGAUGUUAGUGGCACUUGUCCACAAACAUAAUACUACUCAUGUUGUAUGACAUUCACCGAAGAUCACUCUCGGUUGGACUAUAGUUUAUUUUGAAUAAACACAAGUCCGAAUACUUUGCAAAAUGUUUUCAAAGAAUUCAAGAAAUGUAAGUUGAUGAGUAAGACAUCUAAAGUAUUUACCUCCUUAGAUUUGAUCCAAGGAAAGGUAACACUUUAGAUGAGUUUCCUUGAAAGAUAUCAAGGAAAAUAGCAUCAUAAGAUAAUGUAUUUUCUCCAUUAGGAGAAGAACGAACUUGAAUAAGAUUUAGUUCGUUAGAUGUUAUCUAUUACCCAUAUAUAGGAUAUAUACUUCUAAAAACAAUAUGAUUGUCAAUUAGAAGAUCUUCCAAUAUUUUCAUGACUCCAUAAGAUGUAGUUGGAAAGAAAGACAAAUCUUAAGCAUGUUAAAGAUUUGGGGUUGUGUGCUAAUAAGCAAUAUUUGUUUGAUAACAAUCUUGUAGGAUAUAUCCUUAAAAUUAACUUUUGGAUAUCGCUUCUAUAAACCAACUAACAAAUGUUGUUUUGUUGGGUAGUUCAUUGUAAUCCUACAAUGUGAUUUGCCUAAAAGCAAAUGAACGAGAGAUAGAACUCAAAGAAUGGGUUCUUUGAGAGACAAGAAAGUAAUCAACAAAUAUAACAACCUAGUUCCUAUACCACAAGCUCCAAGGUAGUCGAUAAGGAUUUAUAAACCGUCUCAGUUGAAUGGUUUGAACUUUAUGACUAUGUCAUAGAGUUGCACCUCUUAAUUCGAAAGAAAUAAGAAUGAAAAUCCUUAUGACUACAUUGAGUGCAUAUACGAUAUAUACUCAAGGAAAUGGUAAAGUACCAUUUGACUCGAAAUAAUGAAACCUUCAUAAGCUAAUUGGUAGCUUAAGGUGACUACAAUCAAAGAGAAUGGUUGACUUUGAAGGAAACCAUUUUUGACGUAGUCUUAGUUUCAAUUAAUUCGAAGAUUGCUAGCUACAACUAAAUGGUGAUUCAAUGUUUGGACAUAAUAUGGGUUUCCGAAACCAUUAUUAAGAUAGUCUUGAUAAUAUAUGUGUCUAAAACUAUAAAAUCACAAGACAUGUAAGUUGUAGAGAUCCAUCCAUCAUCAUGGAUCUUAGCAAGCUAGUGGGAGCUAUUUGCAUUUUAUGAGAAAAAGGAUCAAAUCGUUUGAUUUCUCAUAAAGAUGUAAAUGAAUCUUUUGUUUACUAGUUUUACAAAAGAUUAGUGGGAGUUAAUCAUGUUCCUAAAAUUUAAAUAUAUGAUGAUAUAUUAAUUUUGGAAAUGAAAAGAAUACUUCUUCGUUAAAGUUAUGACUUUAAUACAUUAUAUGAAGAUAGAAUGUAUAUGGGAGAUAUAGUCUAUAUACAUGGGAUGGAAAUCUAUAAUGAUAUAUUUCAUGAUAUAAUUGGAUUAUAUCAAUCCCUAAUAAUAGACAAUGGAUGCUAGGAAGUUUCUCUCAUAUGAUGAUAAACUUCAAUAAGAAGGACGAUUCUAGUGAGACUAGCAAGUUGCCCUUCUCAAAGGGAACGUACCCUUUGACUCCCAAAGAAAUAAUGCGUAAAUAGAAUCCUUUAUGCAUACGCAGAAAGGUGAUUUAUGUAUUUCAUAUUGUAUGAAAAACAUUGAUAUGAGUUGUACCUAGAACGGUACAAGACGAUAUCAGUGCAAGCCCAGGAUCAGAACCAUGGCAACUGUCAAGUGAGUCCUUAAGUAUUUAAGAAAUACUAAAGGAUAAAUUCCUCAAAGAAUGAGGAAGAAUUAGAGUAACGUAAUGGAAGCGUAAAUGUAUUAGAUUAUGAAUCUAAUCCAUCAUUGGAUGUUUCUUCAUUAUGAAUGAAGAGAUAAACGAAUAUCUCUUUAUUAUGACUAAAGAGAUAUUUGGAUGGAAACAUUAAAGUAAUGACUUUAGUGUGUUCCAUUAUGAAUGCAAGAUAUAUUGCCAUAUAGAAGUUUACAACAAUGUUGUUUGGAUGGGAAAGUUCAUUUAUGAACUCUCUAUUCGGUUCCAACCAGAAAGUGUAUGACACUAAUGGGGCGAUAGCUCAAGCCUGGGAAUCAAGGUCUCAUCAAGAUCCGAACUCAAAUGAGAGACUGAACCACAUGAUUGAGAAUCAUGUAUAAUGGUGACGUCGUUAUUCUCAAGGUUGCUUCUAUGGAUAACACAUAUAGAUAUCCACUUGUCUAGGCCUACUAUUCAGCCAUUUAUGAAAUGACUACAGAAGAGGUAUCAUCAAGAUGACCAAGCUGAUUGGCUCUAGUGCAAGUGGGAGAUUGUUGGAAAUGUGCCCUAAAGCCAAUCAUAUGAUGAUACUUUACGGACAUUUCACAUGUUAAACUAAUCUAGUUUAACAUAUAAAGGGCAAAGAUUAUUGUUUGAGCCGUCUCAUAUAAAUGUUAUAUGCUUAAACGAUAAAGUCCAAGGAAUAUGUGAUUGGGAGAAUGUAAUCUAAUGAAGUUAGAUUCAUGAGACCAUUCUUUCGUAGACACAUCCUAAACGUUCCUGAUCAUAGGAUUGCCAAUUGGGCAUUGACAGUCCGUUAAGAUCAGUACGUACUAUGUCUUCUUUCAGGGAGAGUGACUAGUCUCGAGUCAUUAGUGUGUGUGACAUCAAGACAAGUACGUAGGUGCUCAAUCGAGAAUGAGUUCACUGAACGCGAUCAACGAAGAGUUCUCAUAUUCAUGUCACAUGAGAACUCAUGGUUGGGAUAAUGCAAAGUAGUCCUUUGACCUGAGGCAUCAUAGUUGUCUUGUGGUUAAGUCCUUGAUCUUUGAUUAUGUCAAAGUCAUCCCACCAGGAGGGUGUCCACGGCAUCGUUGGGGUUAAGCCACUUAGCUAUGGAGACAAGUGAAUGCGCAACAAGGGAUCUCUAACCUUCAAACCGUUUGAGGGAGAAUACUCUAUGAUAUGAUUUGAAUCUCUGGCCAGAGUAUGAAUGAGAUUUGGGAAUGCGUUCCAAAUCACAUUCAAGGUAAUCAUAUAAGCACAAGACAUCACAUUGGAUAGUAGACAUGAGAAAAUAAACUAUCAAACCAAACAAUGUGGUCAAGAGUAUUAGAUUAGAGAAAGACCGUAUUGCAUUUGUAAUCCGAAACUGAAUAGGUUCUCUAACCUCUUCUGAUUAGCUUGGGUAACCAUGAUAUGCUGCUAGGUGUCACUCAUGGUUUGUGGAAGCCCUAAACGUGUAUAAUCACUAAAGGGAGAAUUGAAAAUAGUUUCAAUUCACAAUCGAUGUAAAAUGGUUUUAAUCGCCCACUACCUCGCUAAAAGGAACCUAAUGGAUCGCACACCGUGAAAGGUGGAGAUUGGAGAUUAAACGGAAAUGAGUAAGAAUGAUUAUUAAAUGGUUUAAUCAUUUAUUUAUGGCAAGGAUUAAUUAAUAUGUUAAUUAAUCAAACGAAUAAGUUCGUUAAAGACUUCGGGAUAGUUUUGGACCUUAAGGCCCAAUGGGCUUCGAACGUCAAGCCCAUUAACUUAAGUUGUAUGACAAUUUAAUGAAUAAAGAUUCAUUAAAGCCCAAAAGCCCAAAAUCCCUAAAUGGCCAUGGCCAUGAUGAAAUGAAUUAGGGUUUUGGUUGUUUAGGUCACUUAAAGAAGUGACUAUAUAAAUGACUUUAUAACUAAAUAUUCAUUAAGUGAACUUAAGGGUUUAUUUUUUUGGGGAAAAUAGGUGAGAAUUGUCUCUCCAUUUUCUCUCUCUAAAGAGGCCAACACCUUGGAGGGUACAUCUAGCAAUCCUACUACUCCAAGGUCACUCAUUUCUUCUACAAUCGAACCUUGGUGUCGAGAAUUAGAGGUUCUCAAUUUUGGGAACUUGGAGAACCUAUUCUUCCAUCCAAAUCCAUGGAUCUAAGAAGCAAGGAAUGAAGGCCCUUAUCUCUUUGGGUGAUUAGCCUUUGCUUAUGCAAAGAGGAAUCUACAAAGGUAUUAAUUUCAACUCACUUAUGUUUUGAGUUGAUUAUUGGUUCACCAAUCUACUAGGCUUUGAAUUUUAUGGGUAAAUGUUUUGUUUUUGAGUGCAUGUAACCAUGAUUCCGCCUUUAAUUAUUAAUUGCAUGCUAUAUGAUGUUGCUCAAAUGAACAUGUUUUACAAAAUAAUUCCUUCAGUAUGCCAGCCGGAGUCACCUAAAGUGACCUGUACAGCUGGGUCCACAACUCAUCAAUCAAAUUCUGCACACGAGUCGGAACCACCUAAUGUGGUUUGUACGACAGGCUAGGUGUAAACAAUUACGCUCUCAAGUGCUACGGUCACGUGAAGGCUGUGCGAAGUAUCGCAAGUCACCUACGAGUUAGAACCACUUAAACUGGUCUGUACGACAAGCUGACACCUGCCUUGGAUCCAAGGUGAGCGUGUGGUGCGAGAGGUGAACGAUCACGGGAAGGCUAGGCCUUGUCUUCUGAUGGAGCACUAACACUGGGGUGCAGGAUAAUAAGCUUAAAGUACAUCUCAGUACUAAUAUAUUCACUACCAUGACUACCAUCAAUAUACUCACCUGAAGCUUACCUGAGCAUCCAUAGCUUCGAGCAACAAUAUAUAUAUAUAUAUAUAUAUAUAUAUAUAUAUAUAUAUAUAUAUAUAUAUAUAUAUAUAUAUAUAACCAUACUAAUGCACAAUUAAACAUAGAGAGCAUUUGACAUGGCAUUUCGAAGUAUCAAAUCAUUUAAUUAAGUUUUCUGGGAAAAUACUAAGUAUAUAUAUAUAUAUUGAAAACCAAAAGCCCACUCACUGGUAUAUGGAAGGGUCGUAACCCUCGAGUCUUGCUUGACUGUGCUCGUCCUCAGGAUAGGUCUCACCUAUAUGUGAAACAACUAUUUAAACGUUAUUUUAAAGCACAUAAACAAAACUAGUUAAGAACUUUUCAUACAUUGCUCAAUUGGGGUAUUUGAAUACCACCGUGACCUACUCAACCUUAGGAACAUCCCUAUAUUUUUAGAAAAAUUUUCCGACCACUCACUCGCCGUUACGCGCUGACCAAGGCACGCCCAGACGCGCAAUCCAUGCGCAGGCACCUGCCUGGCACACUAACGGAUUCUCUAACGGCGUUAGGGAAUAUUCCGUUAAAUAUUAGAAUAUGCCAUUAAAUAUACUUGACACCGUUCGAAUAUUCCAUCAACUUUGACAGAAUAUUUGUCUUCUUCUCCGGCGAGUCAUCGGAUUUUGUCGCCGUCACCGUCUGUGUCAUCGAAAAUUGGAAAAUUUUCAAAUCUUCCUAUCUUCUUCAUUUCUCAACCAAAAUUCACGAAAUUUGAACCAAAUUGAAGCUUGAGAUGAGAGGAACAAAACCUUACCACUUUUAGGUCUUAAAUCCAUCGAAAAAUCGUCGGAAAAAUCCACGAUAGUCCGGCCACCUCUGUAACUCACUAACUCGAGCUUCCUGAUGUCCAAAAUACUUCAAAUUUCUUCCCUAAGCUUCGCAAAGACGUUCUAAGGCUCCCUAGCACCCUAAAACUCGAUGAAACCUCUGUGAUCACGACGGGGUCACUGUGCGCCUCAUUGGGGUUUUGUAUAACUCGAGUUCUACGAGUUCUCACGUCGAACCGAGGAUAUAAACGAACUCCUGGGCUCACAAGGAACACGAAAACCACCUCCUCGACGUCGAUCCGCGCAUGAAAAGGUUGGUUGAGGGAUGAUCCGUACAAUUAUAUAGAAAAUGGAUGGAAGCCGAUAAAGAAGGAGAGAGAGAGAGAGUCAAUGGGAGAGUGGUAUGGGUGCGUGUGUGGUCCAACUUUGGGCUACCAACCAACAAAUAAAAGCUUACUUCCAAUUGGGUCCAAAAAGUUAGGAAAAACAUGUCAUGGUCCAAAUCCUUAGCCCGUUUACACACACACAACCACUAAAUGCUUAAGGGCAUAAUCAUCACUUCAUGCUAUCAAGGAUAAAAUAAUAAGAACAUUCGGGACGGGCUGUGAUACCCUACCCCCUUAAAAAAAUUUCGUCCCCAAAAUUCCAUACAAUAAUGUACAACCACUAAUAGCCACAAAAUAAGCGUGGAUACAUUUCCUUCAUACGAUCCUCUGCCUCUCAAGUAGCUUCCUCCAUUGAGUGAUUCCUUCACAAAACUUUAACCAAGCGCACCGUCUUUUUCCUCAAAACUUUAUCUUUCCAUUCCAAAAUCGUCACUGGCUCCUCAUCAUAAGUCAAAUCUGAAUUAAUUUCCAAUGGUUGAGGAGGUAUCACAUGUGAUGGAUCAGAGAUAUAUUGACGAAGCAUAGAAACAUGAAAAACAUCGUGCAUUUUAGACAACUCGGAUGCAACUUAAGCCUGUAAGCAACCUCACCGACUCGCUCGGUGAUCUGAUACGGUCCAAUGUACCUAGGACUUAGCUUACCCUUUUUCCCGAACCGCACUACACCUCUCCACAGAGAUAACUUCAAAAAUACCCAAUCACCAACUUUAUACACUCGGUCAGUGGGAUGCUUGUCUGCUAGACGCUUUCAGGUUAGAUUUAAUUACCUGAAUGUUCUGAGUAGUCUCCUCUAUAAUCUCAGGGCCCACCAAAACUCUUUCACCAACCUUUGACCAACACAAGGGAGUACGACAAGACUUGCCAUAAAGUGCCUCAAAUGGUGACAUACCAAUACUCGAAUGGUAGCUGUUAUUAUAAGCAAACUCCAUCAAAUCUAACCGCUGAUGCUAGGCGUCGCCAAAUUGCAAUACCGAAGACCUUAGCAUAUCCUUCAGUGUCUAAAUAGUCAUCUCAGAUUGUCCGUCUGUUUGAGGAUGAUAUGUUGUACUAUAAAGUAAUCUUGAACCAAAAGCCUCCUGAAAUGCUACCCAUAACUUAGAAGUAAAUCUAGGAUCCCGAUCUGAGAUAAUACUAACCGGAACUCCAUGAUACUUAACAAUCUUCGAUAUGAACAAUUCAGCUAAUCGACUUAAAGAAUAUUUCUUCCUCAUAGGAAUAAAAUGUGCUGACUUAGUAAGCCAAUCAACUAUCACCCAAAUACCGUCAUAACCAUUUUGUGUACGAGGAAGCUUGUACACAAAAUCCAUAGUAAUAUCUUCCGACUUCCAUUGUGGAACGGGAAAUGGCUGCAUCAAUCCAAAUGGCUUUUUCCUCUCAGCUUUGACCUGUUGACAAAUGGCACAAUUACUCACAUACUCAGUAAUUUCCCUUUUCAUAAUCGGCCAAUAAUAAAAUGGUCGAAUGGUAUGAUACAUUUUAGUACCUCUAGGAUGCAUUGCAUAUGCUGAUACAUGCACUUCAUCAAGAAUUUCUUUCUUUAGUUCGACAUUAUUCGGCACAUACAUUCUUCCUUCCUACAUAAGCAUACCAUCCGAUUCUAUAAUCCUUAGAUCUUUUUUUCCCAUCAUUUCUUGCUUGAAUUAAUUCCUAGGUUUCUUCAUCAUUCAACUGAGCCUCGAGCACUCGAUCAAUUAAAAUUGGUCUAACCUGAAUAUUAGCAAGUAAGGCUUCAUUUCGUUCUUCCACCCCUAACUUCACUUCGGUGGACUUCAAAUCUGCAAGAAGAGGAACAUGACAAGCAUAAGCAUUAAUUCUCGCUUGAGGAUUCCUACUAAGUGCAUCUGCCACCACAUUUGCACGACCAGGGUGAUAAUCAAUCGUGCAAUCAUAAUCAUUAAGCAACUUUAUCCAUCUUCGUUGUCGAAGAUUAAGAUCCCUCUGAGUAAAAAGAUACUGAAGACUUUUACGAUCUGUAAAAAUCUUACAUUUUCACCAUAAAGAUAAUGCCUCCAAAUCUUCAAAGCAAAGACGAUAGCUGCUAACUCAAGAUCAUGAGUAGGAUAAUUAGUUUCAUGAGGCUUCAACUGUCUCGAAGCAUAAUCAAUCACCCUACUAUGUUGCAUCAACACACAUCCCAGACCAUUCAAGGAAGCAUCACUGUAGAUCUCAAAAUUACCACUAUCAUCAGGAAACGUCAAAAUAGGUGCAUGAGUGAGACAAUAUUUCAACUGCUGAAAACUCUGCUCGCAAUUAUCAUCCCACUCAAACUUAACAUCUUUCCUGGUCAACCUCGUCAGUGGUAAAGCAAGAACUAAAAAAUCUUUAACAAACCGUCUAUAAUAACCAGCUAGGCCAAGAAAACUCCAUACCUCAAUGACGGUUCGUGGUUACUCCUAAUUCUCAACAGCUGCUACCUUUUGAGGAUCCACCAGAAUACCUUGAUCUAGCCAAAAUUGGCACUUGCUAAACUUGGCAUACAACUGGUGUUCCCUCAAUUUCUUCAACACCAAAGUAAGAUGUCGAACAUGCUCUGAUUUCAACUUAGAGUACACCAGAAUAUCAUCAAUAAAGACAAUGACAAACCUGUUUAAAUAUUGUUGGAAUACUCGAUUCAUCAAAUCCAUAAAAGUUGCAGGUGCAUUAGUCAACCCGAAUAACAUCACAAGAAAUUCAUAAUGACCAUAUCGAGUCCUAAAAGCCAUUUUAGGGACAUCCUCACUUUUAAUCUUCAAUUGAUAAUAAAAAAACCUCAAAUCAAUCUUAGAAAACACACAGACGCCUCGAAGAUGAUCAAAUAAAUCAUUUAUACGUGGUAAUGUAUAACGUUUUUUAUUCGUUAUCUGAUUUAAUUUCCUAUAAUCAAUACAUAGCCUUAAAGUCUCGUCUUUACUCUCACAAAUAACACCGGAGCUCCCCAGGGUGAAUUACUAGGCUGAAUAAAACCCUUAUCAACUAAUUCCUGCAACUGAAUCUUUAAUUCCCUCAAUUCAACAGGAGCCAUUCGAUAAGGAGUUAAAGAUAUAGGAUCUAUACCUGAAAGUAAAUCAAUAGUGAAAUCCACAUCUCAGUCUGGUGGCAAUCCAGGUAAAUCAUCAAGGAAUAUGUCAGGAAAAUGCCUGACCACGCGAACAUUCUCCACAUUAGUCGAAGUAUUAUCAUUCAACGCCACAUGGGCCAAAUAUCCUUGACAACCUUUCUUUAACAACCUUUUAGCCCUUAUGGAAAAAAUAACACCAUGUUUCACCCCACUACUCUCACCCAUAAAUGUAACCUCAGGAAUCCAAGACGAUGAAAAGUAACUGACUUCCCAUAGCAAUCUAUAUUGGCACGAUUAUAAUGUAACUAAUCUGUGCCCAAAAUCACAUUAAAAUUCACAAUAUCUAACGGGAUGAGAUUAGUUGACAUAACUACAUCCUCCACUAACAUGGGACAUCUUGGAUAUACACAACUAACGUAACAUAUAUCCCCUCUAGGCAUAUCAAACUCUAAAUCAUACCCUAGAGGUGUGGGAUGAGGUUGAGUUAACUGAGCGAACGUACACCACAAUCAAUUAAUACUCUAGCAAAAUGACCAAGAAUAUUCAACGUACCCAUGAUCAAAUCAGGAUUAUUCUGAGCAUCCUGCAGUGUUAUGUGGUGAAUACAUCCCUAAGCCUGUUGUUGACCUCCACGACAUCUGCUAGUCUGACCACUAUGACUUUGCACGUUAUGCCCCUGGACUGGCUGAUUAGACUGUCACGAUGAUCAUGCACUGCUAGUCUGACCACCAGCUGAAUAUGGCGAAUAUGGCAUAUAACCUCCAAAAUACUGAGGAUAACCACUCUGCUAAUACGGGUCCUGUGGAUACUGAUACUACCCUGCAGAAUAAAGAGCUACAUCACCCUGGUAAUGAUAAGCACCUCCACAACCCGUAUGGGCAUAACCACUAGGUCCUAAAACUUGCUGGAUCGACAUUGGUGGUGGUAGAGAAGGCUGUUGGGGCCUUUGCUGAUUCUGAGGACAAUGCAUAGCCCUAUGCUUCAUUUGCCCACAAGUAAAACAUCAUAUACUACACUGCCUGCACUCCUUAAAAUGUCGGCUAUUACACCUACAACAAAACAGACUACCCGAACCACCAGAAACACCCAAAAUCUCUCUGCCUCUGCAAAACGAUGACCUCCAGAAAACCUACCACCACUCAUUUUAAAACUUUGAGUCUUACGAGGACCCUGAGAUGAUUGACCCUUAUCUUUAUCAUCUUUCUUCUUCUGGUUAUCUUCUUCCUCCUUUCUCUCACUAGGCAUAUUUUUUGAAUCUUUAAUAUGUAGUAAAAUCUCAUAAAACUCCUGGUAAGUAGCACAAGGAGUCAUGGUCGCCAUAGAACGCUAUUUCUUUCGAGUACCCAACCUGAAAUGAUGAAGCAUCUCAACCGGAUUAGCAACAACCUCUAGAUCAUAGCGAGAUAAAUCAGUAAACCUCCUGUAGUACUUAUUAGCUAUCAUAUUUCCUUGCUUUAGGUGCGUGAAUUCUUGCUUCUUGCAAUCUAUAUACUCUGGAGGAAUGAAUCUCUUCUGAAAUAACUACUUGAAAAUUUCCCAAUUAGCAACUUCCUCUGGUGAUAACUGAUAAGACUCCUGUCUCCACCAAGAUGCAGGUUCCGGACCUAAAAACCAGGUAGUCGUCUCAACCCACCUAUCAGAAGGAAGACUCCCUAACUCUGCAUCACACAGAAAGUCUUCUCAAUAUGAUUGAGCCACCGCUCUGCUCCUUCAUGUCAUUCAUUACCCAUUAAAUGAUUCAACUUCAAAUUAUACACAUCUCUAGAGGUGUUAUUUGGGGAAGAUGAAGCGAAGACUGAAUAGCAUUAGCUAUAGCUUCCCUUAGUUGAGCAAUAUUAGGGAAACUAGGCUCAACUGAAGGACGUGGCUCUCUACGAGGUAGCAUAGUUCUGACAGAAGACACCAAGAUAAUUAGAACAUUCACAAGAUAUGCAGAAUUGCCAAACCUAGGCUUUGAUACCAAACUGACAAACCCCAACCUAAUAUCGAGGCAUGCUGGCCUUCACGUGAGGGUGACGUAGCCAUAUGCAGAGUGCAGAAGCAAUAUUAAUAUAAGGAAUGCGAAUAAAUAAAAACAAACUGACUAAAACACUAGAGGAGAUAAAGUGAAAGUGCGAUAUUAAAGGUGACUACACCCAACCAGAGCGUAGGUAGCCUAAGUGCAGUCCAGCAGGACAAAUAUUAAUUACUUAAUACCAAAGAUGGUCAUACAUUUGUGAUGAUUUGUCAGAACCAUCGUCAAUUCCUCGUGAGCCACUAACGAGCGCUCCUACCUAAAACCUGGAGGGGCGUAAAACAGAAAGUGUGAGUGGGCAAAAACAAAGCUUUUCAAAACCAUUUCACUAUCCAAGUAGUAACCCAUCGCUGUAAAACCUGUAUAAUUCCCAGAAAAUAGCAUAUAUGAUUAUAUCCCAAAAUCAUAUUCAAAAAUAGCAAAUCCACCGAAUAUACCAUGUCAUACCUUAGAAAGAAAUAAGAAAGCCAAGUGAAAUACAUUAAUAUGAAAUAGUAUGCCAGCCGGAGUCACCUAAAGUGACCUGUACGGCUGGGUCCACAACUCAUCAAUCAAAUUCUUCACACGAGUCGGAACCACCUAAAGUGGUCUAUACGAUAGGUUGGCAACUGCCUUGGAUCCAAGGUGAGCGUGUGGUGUGAGAGUUGAACGAUCACGUGACGGCUAGGCCUUGUCCUCGAGUGGAGCACUAACACCGGGGUGCAAAUAUAUUCACUACCAUCACUACCAUCAAUAUACUCACCUGAAGCUUACCUGAGCAUCCACAGCAUCGAGCAACAAUAUAUAUAUAUAUAUAUAUAUAACCAUACUAAUGCACAAUUAAACAGAGAGCAUUUGACAUGGCAUUUCAAAGCAUCAAAUCAUUUAAUUAAGUUUUCUAGGAAAAUACCAAUUAUAUAUAUAUAUAUAUAUACUGAAAACCAAAAGCCCACUCACUGGUAUGUGGAAGGCUCGUAACCCCCGAGUUUUGCUUGACUGCACUCGUCCUCAGGAUAGGUCUCACUUAUAUGUGAAGCAACUAUUUAAACGUUAUUUUAAAGCACAUAAACAAAACUAGCUAAUAACUUCUAAUACAUUACUCAAUUGAGGUAUUUGAAUAUACCAUCAUGACUUACUCAACCUCAGGAACAUCCCCAUAUUUUUAUAAAAAAAAUUCGAUCACUCACGUGCUGGCCAAGGCACGGCCAGACGUGUGGCCCACGUGCAGGCACGUGUCUGGCACACUGACGGAUUCCCUAACGGCGUUAGGGAAUAUUUUGUUAAAUAUAACUGACGCCGUUAGGAUAUUUCGUCAACUUUGACAGAAUAUUCGUCUUCUUCUCUGACAAGUCAUCGGAUUCCAUCGCCGUCUGUGUCAUCGAAAAUUUUCAAAUUUUCAAAUCUUCAUAUCUUCUUCAUUUCUCAACCAAAGUUCACAAAAUUUGAAUCAAAUUGAAGCUUGAGAUGAGAGGAACAAAACCUUACCACUUUUAGGUCUUAAAUCCACCGGAAACUCGCCGGAAAAACCCACGAUAGUCCAGCCACCUCUGCAACUCACUAACUCGAGCUUCCUGACGUCCAAAAUACUUCAAAUUUCUUCCUUAAGCUUCACAAAGACGUUCUAAGGCUCCCUAGCACCCUAAAACUCGAUGAAACCUCUGCGAUCACAACGGGGUCACUGUGCACCUCAUCGGGGUUUUGUAUAACUUGAGUUCUACGAGUUUUCACAUCGAACGAAGGAUAUGAAUGAACUCCUGGGCUCACAAGGAACAUGAAAACCACCUCCUCGACAUCGAUUCGCGCAUGAAAAGGUUGGUUGAGGGAUGAUCUGUACAAUUGUACGGAAAAUGGAUGGAAGUCGAGAAAAAAGGAGAGAGAGUCAAAGGAAUAGUGGUAUGGGUGUGUGUCUGUGUGGUCCAACUUUGGGCUACUAACCAACAAACAAAAGCUUACUUCUAAUUGGGUCCAAAAAGUUAGGAAAAACAUGUCAUGGUCCAAAUCCUUAGCCCGUUUACACACACACAACCAUUAAACGCUCAAGGGCAUAAUCGUCACUUCAUGCUAUCAAGGAUAAAAUAAUAAGAACAUUCGGGACAGGCUGUGACAACAUAAAAGAUUAAAAAAUUAAAAACAUUUUUUUACAAAGCUAAUGGGUACAAACUUAUUCUAUUUUAUUUAUUUAUUUUGGAAAUGUUUUGAAUUGAAAAUUAGUUAGGAGUUCAAUAAAGGUGUGAGUAUUAAAAUUCUAAAUCAAUUAUUAAUUUUUAUUUUAAAAAAAUUAUGUAACUGACACGUAAAUUCAUUAUUAUAGUAAUGCUAGAGACUUGGAUCAAAAUCUUAGAAACUAAUAAGGUUUCAGUCAAUGAACAUUAGUAACUAGGGACCGGAUACUAAUUUUUCCAAAAAAAAUUGUAUUACACACUAAGCAUAAUAAGGGUUAUUUCUUUUGUUUUUCUUUUUUCCAAAGCAUAGUAAUGGUUAACUGAAUGUGAGGUUGUAUUACAUACAUAUGGAAACUUGUUGUUACUCCAAAUUAGUUAGCUUGCAUUCCACAAAGAAAUAUAGGAGAAAAUUAACAUUAAAAAUGAGUGCAUAAUGACUUUUAAGAGCCAAUAACAUUUUCCUAAUAAAAAUGUGAGCUUUAUUCGUUGAGCAUUGACAUAACACUAGAAUGAAACAAGAUGGAGGUGAUUUCACUUUCACAACCCAGAACGCUAAAGGCCAAGGGAGAGCCGAACCUUUGAUUGGCAUGGACACAUACAAAAUUCUCGACAUCGAGAGAUUUGAGAUUGUAUGAUUAACUUAUUGCAAUAAGACAAAUUUCAUUGAGAUGAAUCAAAGUUCUUACUGACACACCCCGACCGAGAUCAAGGCAUGCUGGCCGUCACGUGAGAGUGACGUAGCAAUGUGCACAGUGCGGAAGCGAUAAAAAUAAGAUAUAUACGAAUAAUCAAAAACCAAAUUACUAGAGUGCACUACUAAACAGAGAGUGAUAGGAGUUAGUUACAAUAGUAAACACUCCUAAUCAGAGCAUAAAGUCUAGGUGCAGUCCAGUAGGACAAGUACUAGUUAUACAGUACCAGGAAUGUCCUACUAUUAUUUAGAUAAGUCAGAACCGCCGACGUCCUCAAGCCUUCCAACAACAAGCUUACUUAAAACCUAGAGGGGCGCAAAACAGAAAACGUGAGUGGGCAAAAACAAAUGUUGUACAAAAUCAUUUUCUUUAUCAACGUAUCUAACUCCUCGUUGUAAAACAUGUAUAAUUUUUUCCAGAAUCAGAAUAUAAGUAUAUGCAUAAUAUAUAUAUAUAUAUAUAUAUAUAUAUAUAUAUAUAUAUAUAUAUAUUCUCAUUCCUACCUAGCACAAGACCUUUUGGGAGCUCACUGACUUUGAGUUCCGUCGGAACUCCGAAGUUAAGCGAGAAGAUGGCUAGAGAACUUCCAUGAUGGGUGACCCACUGGGAAGUUGCUCGUGAGUUCCCAGAAACAAAAUCGUGAGGGCGUGGUCGAGGCUCAAAGUGGACGAUAUCGUGCUACGGUGGUGGAGCAGGCCCGGGAAAUGAUCCGUCUUGGGUCGGGGUGUGACAAAUGGUAUCAGAGCCAAUCUCUGGCUGGAAGUGUGCCAACAAGGACUUUGGGCCCCUAAGGGGGUGGAUUGUAACAUCCCACAUCGCCUAGGGGAGUGAUCCUUAUAUGUAUAUUCUCAUCCCUACCUAGCACGAGGCCUUUUGGGAGCUCACUGACUUCGGGUUCCGUCGGAACUCCGAAGUUAAGCGAGAAGAUGGCCAGAGCACUCCCAUGAUAGGUGACCCACUGAGAAGUUGCUCAUGAGUUCUCAGAAACAAAACUGUGAGGGCGUGGUCGGAGCCCAAAGCGGACAAUAUCGUUCUACGGUGGUGGAGCGGGUCCGGGAAGUGAUCCGCCUCGGAUCGGGAUGUGACACUUACAGAUUGUCUUCAAUGGACACAAUUACAAAAGUUCAGGGACAAAAGUAAGAUGGAAAUAAGUUUAGAAUCGAAGCUAGAGAAUCCCAUGAAGUUCAGGGAUCAAAUUUGAAAUUAACUCUAGUUCAAAUAUAAAGAAAAAAAAUUGUCAAAGUGGGUUAAUUGUUAAUUAGCAUGAAUAGAAAGUAAACCUUAAUAAUAUUAAAUUUAGUUCUGGUUAAUAUUAUUAUUCUUGUCCAACAACAAACAUGGGUCAAAGUGGGUUUGAUCUGUCGAAGAUGGGAUGUCACUUUCUCAGAGCAAAACGGUUCACCUAACAAGUUAGUGGAAGCCAUCAUGGGCAUAUACUUUCUGUUCAUGCAUGAGAUGAGUCAUGACCCAAAUAAAACAUCUGGGUCCAUCUCAGCACGUGCCAAACUUUUUCAGAUGUAAAAAUUUAGGGUUUGGUUAUUUUGGUUUUGGUAAUGGUUGUUUGAGGUCAUUUGGUUCCACCAAGGUCUAAAAUAUUGAUAUUAUUUUGAUAUUUUUAUCGAAAUUUUCGUGUUUUUAGACUACCGAUAUUUCCGAUAUUAUCGAUAUUUUAGACCUUGAUAGGAACUUUAUAUGGUACUAAGUCACUCAUGUAUCUUACCAUGCAAUGUAUAAAGUGUAAAAUAUUGUACUAAUUCAUUAUAUAUAAAUGAUUAUGGUGUGUUUAAACUUCUUUCAUUAAUUACUACAUAUUUUCUACACUCACAAUGUUUGCCAGCUCGCUAUAUAAUCAAUUUAAAUCAGUUAAAUCCAUCAUGCAAUGCAUUUCCUUCCAAUUUUUUUGUAAUAAACUAAUAGAUAAUUGACUAAAUAAACAUCCUGUAAAGUUUCAAUAAAAAUUUCUAAGUUUUUCUUACAAUUUCCUUGGUUUUUAUUUAAUUUUUAUCAAUAUUGAUAAUAUCCCUAUAUUUCCAUCGAAAUUUCUGUGUUUUUAGAUUACCGAUAUUUCUGAUAUCAUCGAUAUUUUAGACCUUGGUUCCACCAACUACAUUUGAAAGGAAAUCUGGCUAGUAAGCUCAAUUGCUUCUUUUUUUUUUUUUUUUUUUUUUGGAAAGGUAAGCUGAAUUGCUUAGGGCACAGAAUUAUGAUACUAAUCAAGUUUUGAGAGAGAAAAACGCAAAGAAUUAGGAUUAAGAUAGAUUAAUUGUCCGAUUCCGUCAACAUAAUGUAAUUGGAAGGAAAAAAAAAUUAUGAAUACAUUGUUCGAAGCCACAAAAAACAUUUGAGCUUACAUGCGUACAAGUUUUGGUGAUUAGUGGUUCCACGUAUUCGUAGUUUUACUUUUAAAUCUUAUACUCGAUGUCUAUGAAAGAUUGAAUCUUGGGAUUUUUCUCAAACUUGCAGAGCAAAAACUUUAAAUUUUGUUCGGAGUUAUUGAGAAUUGGUGCACUUGUAAUAUUGGCGAAGCCUUUUUAUUGUUUCUAGAGUUGUACUUUAAACCGCAACUAGUUGAUUCGCAAAAGAUAGUAUAUGCAGUCCCCUUGGAAUAGUUACACAUAUCAACUCCUUUAUGAAUGGGGUGUGAUAUCCACACACCUCUUUUUACUUCUCUCAUAUUUCUUUAGUUUUCGGCCGUCGGAUCGGAUGAAUUGAAGAAGAUCAACGGACAUAAAUUAACAAGGGGUGUGUAAGAAAUAAAAAGGGGUGUGUGGAUAGCACACCCCUUAUGAAUAAUGUAUUUACAUGGUAAUAAUUCAUAAUCAAAACCUUUUAGUUUCUUAAUCAUCAUUUCUAAAAACACAUUCGAUUGUAGAUCGCUUAAUCAUCCAAAUAUGUCCAAUAAAUAGACGGUUUAUCAUAAAAAUAUUGCUUGGUGCCUACACUAUCAAUUUAUUCCAUACAUUGAAUAACAAAACGAUCUCCGUUUCGAAUAAUUUUUUGUAGGAGCAAUCUUCAAAUAAAAAUUAAGAAAUUGAAUGGUUUUGAUUAUCAAAUUUGUAUCCUAAAUAAAAUGACAUCAUUCACAACAGGUAGAGAUGUAUCCACCCUAUGAGGAGGUGGAUGCAAGGAAUAUCUAUUUAUACUUUCAACAUGCUGUAAGAAAUAGACUAGAAGUGGACAAGUUCCAAAACAAAUCCAGAAAAAUCUCCAAUGCCAUAAUGCAUGUACCUAAUCCUUUGGUAAAAUCUCAACAUCAAAAGCAUUCAGUCCCUUUUCUGGUUGUGUUUUUCUUUUCAAUUGAAGACACAUUAUUCACUCUAAUAAUGUAGGGAAAGAUUACAAAGUUUCUUUCUAUAGGUUAGAUGUUCUUUUGGGCGUUCAUCGGCAUGAGUCGAGUGAUACUUCUUUUCCCAAAUCGACAUAAUGUCAAGUUUGUAGUUCCUUGUGUCAUAAAUUAGAAAAACGAAAACAAUUGAAACUUGAUUAGGUUACCAUUUAUUUCUUUAAAAUGAAGACUAUAUGUCACAUGUAUAAGAAAUAAGGAUCUCAAAAAUGUAUGUUUAACCUAAAGUUUUGGACUAUUAGGUGACAAGAUACAUAUCAAGACAUUAAAACGUUUUAUAGUAUAAAUAGCUCAAUCUAUCCAAACUUGUAGCUUGCGUACAUAAGCAGCCUCUAGCCUUCCAGCAACCUUGUACAAGUACUCGAGCGACGGACCCAAAGACGGUGAAAGUCUCAGCGAGUAUGCAGGGAAAGUACGAGUGAACAUAUAAAUAUGUUCCCACAAACGAGAGGGAGGUGGAGAGAUUUUUUAAGCACUAUGAUGGUACUCCAAAGCACAGAUAUUUGUUUAACAAAAAUGCUUGAAUAAAGCUAAAUGCAGAAGCUAUUAGUAAGGUCUGCAUUCUUAUAUCAUGCCUCAAUAUUAUUGGAAGUUAGUUGCCAAAAAUGUGACGACCUCCAUUCAACUUUGGGCCGAUGGGUCAUGUAAAAAUACCAGAGUUUACCUUCAAUUUACGUAAUUAAACUUCUGGAUGAAAACAUGAGCAACUUACAGCCAAUAUAUAUUUCGAGGUAGUUUAAACGAUGCAGGAGUUACUGCAGAAAUCGGGAACCGAAUGCACAUUCGAGUAAAGCAACUAAUGCUCCAAGUCACCCAAAGACCUAAUUGCCCAACUAACAAAGUCUUUAUAACAAAGCACAUAACUAGCUACAUUAGUUUCAAACAAGCAGAACAUGAUUUAAAGAGAGGACAUACCUACACAAAUAUGAUAUGAAGAUAAUGCAGAAAUUUCACCGUGCCAGCCAAAUUCAGUUUGUAUCAUUGACAUUUGACAACUGUGUUCACUUCCUCGACACUAGAAUUCAAUUCGGUAGAUUUAUCACCCAACUCUGAACUUUCUGUUUUUGGUACUUUAACAAAUUGUUUACCGCGUGCCACACGAAUUCCCCUUCCCAUAAGCAGCUGCAGGAAAAGAAGUUUCCAAGGGGAAAAUUACCUUCCUGUGGGAAGCAGAAAGAGCUGCCUCAGCCUCGGUCCUGGUUUUGAAGCCCACAAAUCCAUAUCCUGUGGACCUUCGCAGGUUAUUUUGGAAUACAAUUUCUGCUGUAACAACAUUAUAAUCCUCUGAAUCGAAGAGCUCCUUGAGAUCUUUAGACCUUGCUUCAUACAGCAAAUUUUCCACUUACAUAUUGAAAGUUAAUGGCUUGGGUUGUGAAGAAGGGGGAGGAAUCUUCAUCUUUUUCGGCCUGGCAUAAGCCAUGUUUAUGACACGACCCUCCAUUUCCUGUAAGGCAUUCCAAAAUAAGAGAAAAUCAUUUACUAGACAAUAGGAUAAGGAAGCCGCAUAAGUAUCAUAUAUUUAAAGGUCGUACCCAGUGCACAAGGCUCCCGCUUUACGCAGGGUCUGGGAGAGGUGAAUGUCGGCUAGCCUUACCCCCAUUUAUAUUUAGUGGCUCAAAAUAUGAAGGAAAAAGCCAACGUAUCAACUUGGAAAAAAUUACUAGUUAACCCAAAUAUUACAUUGAUUCUUGAACUUCAAAAUGAGACACUUAACCCUUUAAACUAUACUCUGUAUGUUUGGUCCUUUAACAUUACUGAAGGGAGUACUCACUCAGUGGCAUAUGGAAAACUUAUUCAAGGGAAUAGAAAUUAUGAUCUCAUUCUCAAAUAUUGAGAAAAUGGUGGCAGCACUACCUCCAUUGAUUUCUUCCCUCUCCCUUUCCCUAAAACAUCUUCUAAUCUUCACCACCCUAUCACUCCAUUCAAACAUAUAUCUCUUCUCAUCUCCUUAAAACUUCAUGUUAAAUCCUCUCUUGCUUUCUCCUGUUUUCAAAAUUUGCCACUUUGUGACUCUCCUACAGCCAAAAAGUCUCGGUACAAGAAGAGGAACAAACCCAGUGGAUGAGGAAACCUUCACAACCUCCACAAAUAAUAAAAACUAAAAUGUGCACAGUAGAAGUACAGUAUACCAUAGUUCCAGCUCAAUCCCCUUGUUAUUUGAUGUUGGAGUAGCUCUGCAGGUUGAACACAAAUUGAACGUAUGUUCAACAAAGGUAAGAAGAUCACAAACCAAUGGAAGAAGGUAAAGAAGUAAGUGUGUGAUAGGGUAUGAUGCUAAAUAAUGAUGCCAUGAGAGAGGAUGUCUUGGCAUGAAUUGAUGACGAUGAUGAUGGAGUUAACUGGUUUCUAGAGGUGUUGGACGCCUCUAAGAGAUUGUCAUUUAUGCUCUCUCGGUGACUGAAUGCAUGACUUUUAUCAUCUACAAAUGAAGAGAUGAAACAGUAGACCUCCCUUCUAGGAAUAAGAUAACAAAUUAUGCCCUUAAAUUAGUGCUCAUGUGCCACCUCCAAUCAGAUGAAUAAUUGCAUUCCCAGAUAAAGGGCCUAAUACGGAGGUUAAACUUAAAGUCGAAGGGAUACCAGUGAAUUUCACCAAUAAAUUCAGCUCCAAAGUACAGGCACAGGAAAAGUGCACACAAAUAUACAUGAAACAAAGAACUAAAAUUCUCUUCUUAUAUUUUUAGAGAGCAACGAAUUUACAAUACGAACGAAACAAACACAAAAUGGUAGUCAAAUAGAAUAGUAGAACGCUCCCUCUCAUACAGCGGAAAAACUAUAAAAUUCCCAAAUUUCAUUUCACUUUCCCAACUAGUAGUCUUUCUAACUGACCAAACCAAGCAUAAAACUAAACUUACAACAACACAAGCAUUCACAUAAGAUAACAGAACCCGAUAUACUUACAGACGAUUCGAGAUAACCAGAGCCGUACGAGCCUCCUCGGGCGAUCCCAUUGUUACAAAUGCCAAACCCCUGUUCCUGGUCUUGUCAUACAUGGCAAGCUUACACCACCACCAAAAUAAAAAAUAAAAAAUAAAUAAAAAAAUAAAAAAAGACAAGAACAAUCAAAACCCAUCAAAUAAAAUCACAAAUUAUUAAUACCCAACAAAAAUAAUUCUCUUUCAAACCAGAGAAAAAUGGAGAAAAAUGACAACCUCAAGGUCGACGACGGUGCCGUACUUCUCGAACACAGAUGGAUGUCUUCCGGGAUGCAAUGCCAAGGAACAUUCUGGCAAGCAGUCUUGUGUUGGAGAACUCUAUGGGCUCCGCUCGAGGACUGGGGUUGCGUCGAGAGCUUGGUCUUGGGCGGCGGCGGAGAAUUGAAGGACGAAAUUCCCGAGCUUUUUGGCCCUGAAGGAGGAGGAACGAGUGGGUUUGGGGGAGAGAGAGAGGGGGAGGAAAGAGAGGUGGAGAGAGAACGAGUGGUCGGAGUGUGCUUGGAGAGGCGUCGUGGGUUUUGGAGAGAGAGGGGAGGUGUGAGAGGGAGAACUUGUUCAGUGGGGAAAGAGAGAUGACGAAGUAAAGCCAUUGCUGUUGAGCUUUGUUGUCCAUGAAGUCUGAAGUUUCAAGUAGGGGGCGGGGAAAGACAUCUCUUCCACUAUCAGAUUAAAUCAUCCAGAUAUUUGAAAUUUUAUCUAAUGGUAAAAAAAUUAUUAUAGCUUUUAAAUGAUCAAAUCAGGUGGGGUAUAGCUUUUAAAGAAUAAAAACAGGUGGACCGUUGAAUAAAAUUUCAAUAACUCAGAUCACUUGAUUCGAUCAUCUUGAACCUUGAUGAAAGAGAUCCGAGUGUGGGAGUUUGAAGUUUCAAGUAGGGUGUCAAACAUCAUGAUAAGGAGGCUAAAUUUUUAAAUUAAAUUUGAAAAUUAUAUAAUAUGUCAUAAAUAAGAAAUGAAAAAUUUUAUUUGGAUCCAAUUAUCUUAGUCUACACCCAACUAAAAGAUUUUAUCCACUAAACUUUCAAGUUUAACCUUAAAUAAAUAAAUAAGAAAAUAAAAAUAGAUGUAAAAAUUUUAUUUGCAGCUUCUACUUAUUUUCUUUUUUGGGUUCUCCAAAUUGUACCGUGGAUGAAACUACUUUUACACGAAUUGGAUUUCGAUUAUAUUACUGGAUAUGGUAUUGAUAAUUGAUCCUUGAAAAUUCCAAUAAAUAAUCCCAAUUGAAAAUUUUGGAGCCCAUGUUGUUCAUGAUCUUGAUAUAAUUUUUUGCUGUCACUUGGGUGGGUUAGCCGGAAAUAAUGGAGGAGUGCAGCAAUAUUGGGUGCAGAGAUAAAAAGACCAAUAUUUAUUUUUGUAUUCUUAUUUAUUUAAGGGCAAACUUGGAAGUUUAAUAGAUAAAAUGUUUUAGUUGGAUGUAGAGAUAAGACAACAGGGUCCAAAUAAAAUUUCCCAUAAAAAAUAAGCACGUUAAUUGACACUUCAUUAAUAAUUCAUUAAUUAACAACCACAUCAUUUGAUUUACACAAUUUGGUUUAAAAAUUUUGUAACGACCCAUCCCCAAAUCCUAUGGUUUUUAUAAUUUUAAAACGUGAAUUUACGAAAAUACCUUUUGAGGCUAAAACAUUGGCUUUUGUUGACCGUCUUGUUGUGUCGCAUAAGACUCUUUUCCUUGGCAUAUCCUUAUAGUAUUCGUUGCUAUGAACGAGUAGGCACAAGCGGAAUCGAGUUUGGAGUUAGAAUAAAGAUUUUACAAAAUUAGGAAUGAUAUGGGCAUUUCGGUAAUUUUACGUUCCACAAGAUAUUUUCCCGUUUCAUCUUUUCUUGCCUAUUUGGUGAGCCAGUGGGACCCACCCUUGCUUUCCAGCCUCUCUCUUUUUCCCUCAAUUUUCUCUAUUUCCUGCGAACCCUUUCUAUCUCUCUCCUUUAACUUUCAUCCCUCUAUUCCCUCAUAUCUCUCUUGUUCUUUCUAAUCUAUAGACGCCACAGAGGGUGGUUUCGCCACCCUUCGUGUCGAGCCCGACACAACCACCAUCUCAUUCUUUCUUGGUACUGUGGCACUACCACUGUGCUUGUGUUCUCCAGCGAGUUCCACCAUCUACGGCGAAGGUAAACCCCUUAGAAUGUUUUAGAUCAUGUUGUAGUGUUAGAUUAGGAUAGUUUUAGGUGCUGACCACACGUGGAUGCAAGGAAAACCUAAUGGGAGGCAUUGUGCAUUUUCUAGAAAUCCCAAACCGUUGCCAUUUAGCCACUUUUUUGGCCAGCUCCGACCUCCGUCGAGCCUCGAAAGGGUAUAUAUUGCUUCCCUAGGACCUUGAAUUACUCAAUUUGGUGUUGUAUUAAGCUCGGAAUGAGCUCCGGAAGUUAGCAUUUCCACCUACAAAAUCUGCAGGUUUUGUAGAGAAUGCGACGAUAGUGUACUUGCAGGCGUGUAGUGCUGCAAUUCCCGGUGCCUGGAGCACACGCGCCUUUACAAGAGGUACUAUGCUCCGCCGUUGUCCACGGUCCCGACCACGGUGGCGUUGACAACUUUUCCGACCCACUUUCCAACGACUCAACUCGAUACGUGGCGGUGCUUGGGGGAACCCGAGGUCCCUCCUUAGGUUUUUUGACAUCCCGAAUCAGACGUCUGUUUUCCCAAAUUCAAUCGUCUUAGUAAGGUUUCACUAAUUGGUCCUUUUAUGUGCCUAGGGUGCGUUUAUUAGUGGUGAUCAUGUCCUCUCUAGCUCAAACUGCUUUUUAGCGACAGAGCAUCUGUGAGUGGACCCCUUCUUAAAUUGCAUGAUUUUUAUUAAAUGCUAGGCUUGCAUUCAUGAAAAGCUUGAUUUGAUGAUUCAUCAAAUUUACAUUUUAUGAAAAUGUUAUGCUUUAUUGAAUUUACGUUUACGAAAGAUUUACAAACCAUGACUUUUUACGCCUUACAAUAUAUGAUGGUUUAUGAGAUGAUGAUUUGAGCUAGAACGCUCAUAUGGAUUUAUGAUAUGAUGUUUAUGCUUUGAAGUUUCGAGGUUUGAUAUGAAAAACGUGUUUAUGUUUUCAGUGCUUACUCAGUGGGUAAUCAUACAACAUAUACACACAACAUGAGUAUGUAUUUGUAUAUGGUCAUAGGACAUAGUUGAGGAGCAGUGAGAUAUUUAUGACAUACUCCCAGCUUCACUGACGAAACCAGUGUUGGACAGCUUCACUGGUCAUGGCUAAUGUCGGUGUGUUAUGUAUAUUUCUUCUAUGGCGUAACCCAGAGUCAUACAGCUUCACCCUCGGGUGAUGGAUAGGCCUUCGGGCAAAGAUGAUACACUUAUUUGAGUACUUUAUUGAUCUUAUCGUAUGAACGUUUUCAUAGCAUGUAGAGUUUUUUUUUAGAAAACCUAUUACGUAGUAUUAUAUGAGCUUUUCAAAACAGAGGGUUAGUAUGUUCAAAAGAAAAUUGAUUUUACUUAUUAUUAUUAUUAUUAACUUUGGUCUACUCACGCUUUGUUUUGUGCUCCCUUCAGGAUUUAGAAUCAAGACGUACAAUUUCGGCGUCAGGGCACUCCCGCAUAGAUAUAUUUGAUCCUUCUCAGUGUAGGACCCAUUCCUUUCUACAUACCUUUUUAUUAUGAUUAGUUGUAUGCUCUGAACACGUUUCUACAUUUGUUUACUUCUUUAUAUUUACACAUUCAUUUACCAUUAUCACUUACGUGCAUAUUAAAAUGGCUUCGUCACUCUCGGGUGUUGGCCAACACGUACCCACCUUGGUAUUUGGGAAUACCGUGGUUGAGGCGUGUCAAAUUUGGUCUCCCUAACAUCACCCGGUGUUAAGUGGGAGACUAGCAACAAAGGAGAUUUGGAAUAAAAUUGGCUAUAGCAGUGUGAUUUAGAAGUUUGGAUUAUUUUUCGUAAUUUAGAUGAAAUGCAAUUAUUACUUGUUGUGAACAUUCCUAGUUUAAGUGUGAUUGUGUAAAUCAUAGAUUAGAUUUGAUUCUAGUUAUCAUUUCCUAUUAUAUCUUGUAUUCCUUGGGGAUGAAGGCAUAUCUUCUCUCCUUAUAUUACUAUAAAUAAAGGCACAAUGUAUGAGGGAUAACAACACACACAUUCCCCUACAAUUUUACAAACACAUAUAUCUCUCUUCCUCUCCUUGUUGUCAACCACCCUAAACUUGUCAGAUAAAAUAGACCACAAUACGUUAUCAGCACGCUCCUAUCGCUGCGCUUAGGAAUCUGACGUAGAGAAUUUUUCUGCAACAAACCAGUUCAUCCAUAUCAUCACGUAAUUAGGUUCUUUCAAAACAACGGUUUUUAUCUCGAUAUUUUUGCAGCCCUGAUAGCAUGAACAUUCACCAUGAUGCAUGACCCAACUUUACGUUUUACGAAUUUUAGAUUCUACAUAAAUUGUGUAUGCCUCAUAAUCAUAAUUGUUGAAUUAUGUGAAUUUCAAUUCACAUACUAUUAUUUUUGCAUAUGCAUAUUAUUAGAUCAAAUUGAAUUUACGUUGAAUCGAAUUACAUAUGCAUAUAAUUGAAUUGAAUUGAAAAACAAUAAGAAAAAAAACGAAAUUGGGAAUCAUGGCCUGGGUUCUUCGAACCCAUGACCUCAAGCAUUCGCCCAAGCCUGCAGCUUACGGCCGAACCGUGCUGUAACAGACCGUCCCAAAUUUUACGUUUUUAUUAACUUUAAAAGCGUGAAUUCACGAAAAUGCCCUAGAGGCAAGGACUUUGACUUCCGUCGACCAUCGGUUGGAGAAACAUAUGAUUUAUUCUUUUAGUAUAUCCUCGUAGUACUCGUCGGUAUGGACGUGUGGGGGCAAACGGGACGUGAUUUGGAGCUAUAGAACGUUUGAAGUUUGGGGCAUAUUAAUAAUUUGGUUAUUAUUAGAAAACUCUAAAAACAUUUAAGUGAAAUCUGGUGUGCCAUGUGGGUGGCCUAGAUUUAAAGACAAGGAUACAGAUGGUUGUGAUGGAAAGGCAAGAAGAGAGAUGAGAGAUAAGUGGAGCAAUAAGGAGAAGAGAGAGAAGGGUGGACCAAUGAGGGAGGAGAGAAAUGAGAGAAAGGAGAGAAGAAGAAGAGGAGGGAACCGGCUAGGUUCACCAUGACCUGUGACCCGACCCGGUUCCAUCUCUCAAUUCCGACCACCAUAGACAGUGAGGUUGGUGUCAAAAUGAUCCUUAGCUGGAGGCCAUUUGAUAAUUCUUCCUAUUUCACCCAAAAAAUCAAGGGAUUUGGCAUUAAUUUCACAAAACCCUCACGGUGGGGUGCGACGGUUUUGGGUUCGAACCACACAAUUCCAAAGUUAACCACAUCCAUCACCACCACCCAUAGCAUCCUCUUGAGGCCUAAAAUAAAGCCCAAAUAAGUUUGGGGGUGGCGGAGUUGUAUUGGAGUCGGAUCGAACACACCCAAAUUCAAGGGUUUCGUACGGUUUUAGUAGAAUUGAAGCUUUUCUAGGUCAAAUUGGCCUUAGUCAUAGAUCGAUUCUUCUUGUCGAUUAGAUAAAUUUUCAUGUUUGGAUCGUGUGAUUUGGUUGAAAAAUAAGAAAGUUAUAACGAUUUAAAGUUUGCCCAGUUUCCAGCGACCUCCGCCACUUUCGAGGUAUUUUUCGGCCAAACCAUGGUGAGUUAGCCUUCAAAAAAGGUAUCAAUCUCUUCCUCUCGUCAAAACUAAGAUUUACAUUUUUGAAUCACUUGAUUUCGUGGAGUAUUGACAAAGUUAUGGACGUUGAAAGGUUGCCCAGAAAUUCCGGCGAGUUACCAGUUUUUCCGCGGACAGCUGUCUUUCAGACCAUUUUCCGGACACCUCUGGCCACCAUUUGGACUCCAAGCUGAUAUAAUUUGUUCUACAUUCUUCUAGCUUCGAUUUGGUAUAUCAUGGGUUGAAUUUGGUUGAGAAACAAGUGAGAUAUGGAGUUCUAAAGAUUGCCUGGAAAUAUGUGAAAUCUGCAGAAUCCAGCGAAGUUCUAUUAUCCACCACUUGAUUAGAAUAGUAAUCGACGAUCCGACCGUUGGAUCGUCACCAAACUUUGUUACAUUGUAUUAUGUAAUAUUUUAAGAUGUAGGAAUUUACGGAUUGGUAAUCCGAAAUACGGAUCUUCCCGAAUUGGAUUUGUAAGUCCAUAAAAUAGAAUGUUAACCGCCACUUGGUUUUGGAAAUUGGCGGAGAUCCAACAGUUGGAUCGUAAUGAAAUUUUAAUAUGUUAUUUUAGAAAUAUAAUUUGGAUCUUUGGAAGUUGCGGAUUGAAAAUCUGAAAUGCGGAUCUUCCGGAUCGAGUUAUACAAGAUUGUAGACCCUACGGUCGAUCAUAGAUCGACGGUUGAUUGAUGGUCAAUGAGUCUCAAACUAUUUUAGAAUGUCCUUGAUGAUGUAUUUUAUGUGAAUUACGUAGUCUAUUGAUAAAAGUUCUGAGAUGUGAUUCAAUAAUUGUUCUAGGCGCCAUUCAUUAGGGACGCCUCGAUGCGCGUGCUAGAGAAUCAUAGCGUGGACUCCAGGUGAGUGGGUCUUUUCCUUUUAUUAUAGGCAUAUAAUUGAUAGUUCCACAAACAUUGAUUUAUGCAUGUUACCUACAAUUAAUUAUUGUGAACUACGAAUGGAUUGAUCCUUGUUUAGGAUAUAUGUAGGUGGUCUAACGAGACGUUAGAUGCAGCCAUACAAUAAGUGAGAUUAAAUAAUCGAGACAAAAGCUUUGUUUGGGAAAAUGAGCAAUGUGAAGGAAUCUGGUGAAAAAACAUGAGAUUUAACCCUAUGUUUUGGGUGAAUAAAUGUUGGUUAUAAAUCAACAUGCGAGGAAACGAGAAAUUGUGGUUUUAUGUUUUAUAAAUGCCAUGCCAUAAUUAGUUUACAUUUUAGUAUGUGAUUUAGUACAACCUUGCACAGUGUUGCUCACCAAUGCGGAGGCUAAGGUAAGUUCAGGUGAGUAUAUAAUGUUGGUAUGAUUGAUGAGAUAUGAAUAAGUCGUACAGGUCACUAUAGGUGACUCCGACUUAUAUGCUAGUCAUGAUUGAUGAGAUAUGAAUAAGUCGUACAGGUCAUUACAGGUGACUUCGACUUAUAUGCUAGCCAUGGGAUAUGUGAUGAGAUAUGAAUAAGUCGUACAAGUCACUACAAGUGACUCUGACUUAUAUGCUAACUAUGAUUGAUGAGAUAUGUGAUGAGAUAUGUGAUGAGAUAUGAAUAAGUCGUACAUGUCAUGUAGCCAUGAUUGAUGAGAUAUGUGAUGAGAUAUGAAUGAGUCGUACAGGUCACUACAUAUGACUCCGACUUAUAUGCUAGCUAUGAUUGAUGAGAUAUGUGAUGAGAUAUGAAUAAGUCGUAUAAGUCACUACAGGUGACUCCGACUUAUAUGCUAGGCAUGAUUGAUGAGAUAUGUGAUGAGAUAUGAAUAAGUCGUAUAGGCCACUAUAGGUGACUCUAGCUUGUGUGCUAAUAUGGUUUAUUAAGCACAUGAUUAUUUAUAUUGCUAAUGAGUUGCUAAGUAGUAUUAUACUUCGGGGUUUACCGUUAGUAUAUUUUUUACUUCAUACUUCUACAUAGUAUGAUUUGCUGGAAACUAUACAGGUUUUACGGCGAGGGGUUACUACCUUUGAUAAUGGAAAUGACUUUGAAAAUCUUUGUUUUGACCACUCAUAUUUUUUAUUUUUGCACCCCUCCAGAUUCUAGUAGCAAGGUUUCCAUAUCGACGAGGAUUCGUGGCACUUCCUAGUACAUGUGGCUUCUUUUGAUGGUAUAGUCAUUAUCUUACCUUACUGUACUUUACUUAUGCUCUGUAUCACGCGUGAAAUGGGUCCAGACCUGCUCACCGCGCACUCGUGUACUUAGGUACUUUUAGAUUUUAAUUUAUUCACAUUUUAUACAUUAUCACACUAUAUGGCUUCGUCACCUUCUAGGUGUCGGACAACACAACUCGGUUCGGGAUCCUAGUGGACAUUCCAGGUCGGGGUGUGUCACCUGCCAAAGCCGUGAGAUCCAGGUGCCAACUGAUGCGAAAAUUAACUUAACACACAAAUUUAACCUUUUUUUGACAACUGUAGUAUAAGUAUAAGUAGGGAUCGUUCUGGACCGGGGAUUAGGAGGGCUUGCUAAUAACCUCUAAAUUGACUCAAAAACAUAAAACUAAACUUAAAAAUACUUAACAAGACUCACAAGACUCAAAUCAAACUUAAAAUACUCAAAACAGCUUAAAACAACUAAAUAAACUUAAACUAGACACUAGGAAUGACUUUGGACUAAAAUUGACUUUUACUUGAAUCAAAACAUUUAAAAACACAAAUUAAAACAUAUUCUAACUAAUUAGACACACUAAAGUAAAGGGGGAUUGAGUUUUGGACGAAGUUGAAACAAACAAACAAGUAUGAAAAACUAGACAGAUUGUAAAACAAAUUUGAGAAAUAAGAUGAUGGAUGUGAUAGCUAGAGGCUUUUUCUCCACACAUGACAUGUAUGCAAAUAACUCAAUUUCCAGUUACUACUUCAUUGAAUUAUGAACGACAAUGCUCCAAAUUAACCGUGACAUCAUUAGUUAACUCUCAUAUUUUCCUUGUUUUAUUGGAUUGGAUGACAUCAUUCGACAACCCAAAACAUUCUUCUAAAGUUCCCUACAUGAUAUCAUAAUAAAGAUACAAUCAAAUAUCAUUACGUUUAAUGAAAAUCAAAAGCAUUGACAAAGCACUUACAACUAUGACAUCAUGUCACUCAUGCUAGGAAUUGAACUUAACGCGAUCGUUUAUAAGUGACCUUCACUACAUGUGAAUAUAAGUUUGUAACGAUUAUGUGAAACUUCCUUAUAUUCUAGCAGCAGAUUUAUGCAUGCCAAUUAAGUGUCGACCCUUAAUUAACAAAUACAAAUAAGUUAUCAAUCAAAUAGUUAAGCCAAUUGCAUUCACGAUUCAAGAGUUCAUAACUGGAAUUUAUCAAAUUAUAUUGCACACAUAAUCAUGGCUUUGAAAUCACCCCUAGCCAAAAGGGGUUUAGCCACUCAUAUUUACAACAAAACGAAAGGAAAUGAAUUUAAACAUUAGAAACAAAAGAAAGAAAACAUCUAAACGCUCAAACGAUCCAAGUUGGACAACAAGCACGUACAAGCACUUUCAUUCCCUUCCUUUGCUACGGCACAAGGUGUUGGUGAGUGUUUGAAGGUUUGUUUGUAUGGAGGAAUGAAUGUGUUUGGAUGAAGGUUGUGUUGAAAUGGGAGUGAAUGAUCUAACCAAGUAUGAACUAAAUUUAUGUUACACACACUUCCUUUUAUAGAGGAAAUGCAUGGCAAUGGAGGGGAACAUGGAGUGGUGUAGCAAUUGAGUGCAAUGAUGCAUGAAAUUUGAAAUGAUGGAGGGAACAAGGAAUUGUGUAGCAAUUGAGUGCAAUUAUUCAAUGUAGUGAUGCAUGAAAUCUGAAAUGAUGGAGGGAACAAGGAAUGGUGUAGCAAUUGAGUUAUGAAAUGAUGGAGGGAACAAGGAAUGGUGUAGCAAUUGAGUGCAAUGAUUCAAUGUAAUGAUGCAUGAAUCUGAAAUGAUGGAGGGAACAAGGAAUGGUGUAGCAAUUGAGUACAAUGAGUGGUGUUUGAAAUGAUUCAAAGGUGAAAGUGAAGCGAUGAUGCAAAGCAUGGGGGUAAAAUGGAGUGGUGUUGCAGCUAGGGAACAUGAAUGAUUGUGCACAUGGUAGAGAAAGGAAAGGGAGGUGGAAUGAUGCAACAAAUGAGUCAAUGGAGUGAACAUGGAUGAGGAUGUAUGACAUAGGAAUCCAAAGGGAGUGCAAUGGUGGUGCACGACAAUGAUGGAAAGGUGAAUGGUGGAGUGACACCCCUUUGUGGCUGAGCUCUUUGUCCUUUUACAUUAAUUCUUCUUUCUCUUUAACACAUGUCUAGCCUCUUUAGUCUUCAAUUUCGUCCAUCCACCUUGCUCCAUGCAUGUGCUAUUCAUUCCAAGCACAAAACUGCUCCAAAAUGCACCAAAAUGCAUCUUAUUGCUUCAUAAGGGUUAUGGACCUACAAACACACGAAAAUAGCUUAAAAUACAUAAUUAACUAAGAAAUAACAACAUAAAUGCAUGAGAACAAGCUAACUCAGUCGCAUAAAUAUGCUCCUAUCACCAACCUAGAAAACCCGACCUCAUCGAUGGUGUCCUUGUCCAUAUUGACCACAUGAUGGCCUAUAGCCACCACCCUGAACAUUUUGUUCAUCAUGACAAUGACCAGAAGUCGUCUCACACCGAAAUUGUACUGAGAUUCAUCAGAAUUGUCCUAUAAACCCGAUUAGAAUUUCUAGGGUUUCACAACAAAUGUCGAGAUUUUUUUUCAAAUCUACAUUCUUAUUCUGAGGUCUUUGGCGACUCACGGACUCGUACUAAGCAUCAUUGUCCCAACGUCGACCGCCUGACGUGGCGCCGUCGACCAAAACCCGGUGUUCUUCCCCGGCAGUACACACCCAGCACGGCUAGGUUUGUGAUCGAAGACCUUUCUUUUUUGGGUUUGAACCCUCCACUACUUGUUUUUCUUUCCUACUUAGGCUCACUUGCCGUGACCCAAAAAUCCUUUGGGCCCACCUAUCUUAGCCCAUUCCCCUGGCCUGAAAAAAAAAGGAAAAAAAAAAAAAAUUGGGCUUGCUUGAAGCAGCCCGUAUUAGUUUUUUUUUUUUAAUUUUGGGCCUGCCUACAGCAGCCCAUCUUCUUGGGCCGUUUUGUUUCCCUCUCCCCAUGGGCCUGCAGCUUACCCGAGACCCCACAACCUAUUUUUUUGGCCUAGGUCUCACAUAACAAUUUUUUUUCAAGCCACCUGUGGCUUAGUUUUUUCCUUUUGGCCCCAAGUUAUAUUUGCCUAAUUAUUUUAGGCCCAAUGGGUUCUAUAUACUUUUCACCCACACUUUAAUUUGGCCGAAAGUCCAAAUAAUUAAAAUUCAAUUAUAAUUAUAAACAUGAAAUUAUAUUUUUUGCAUAUUCUCGUUGCAUAUUUGUUUGCAUAUAUAUUUGUGUUUACCUGCAUGAAUAUAUGAACCUGAAGUUCAUAAUUAUUUUGAAACCUGAAGUUUCUUAUAAACAUGCCUUAUUUGAAAACCUGAAGUUUUUCAUUUAAACACAUCACCCAUGAAAACCCAAAGUUUUUCUUGCAAAAUUAAACCAAAUCAUGUUUAUUAGAACCUGUAUGUUCUACUCAUACGUGAAUGGAUUGAUUUUUUCUCCAUUACACUAACCACAUCUUGUCCAUCUAUUUUGUGAUAGGAACAUGUUGAAUUUGAACAAACUCGAUUUCACCGCUUUAGAGGUCUCUGGAAUGAACUACCUCAAGUGGGUCCAAGAUGUGAAGCUCCACCUCACUGAAAAGAACUUGUGUACUGCCAUUAAAGAAGCAAUGGACGAGACUAUUGGCGAAGCUGAAAAAGCCACUGCUAUGAUCUUCAUCCGAAGACAUAUUCAUAACGCUCUGCAAACUGAAUAUCUUGUUAAGGAGGAUCUACGUGCAUUAUGGGUCGCUUUGGCUGAUCAUUUUAAUCACCAAAAAGACAUAUUAUUGCCUGAAGCAAGACACGACUGGCAACACUUGCGCUUCCAAGACUUUAAGUCUAUGAAUGAAUAUAAUUAUGAAGUUUGUCAAAUCCGAUCACUUCUCAAGUUUUGCAAUGAAACUUUGACUGAAGAGGAUCUUCUGGAGAAUACCUAUAAAACAUUUUCUGCUUUUAAUAUUGUCUUGGAACAACAAUAUAGAGCUCAGAAGUUCACUAAGUUCUCGGAUUUGAUCUCUAUUUUACUUCUAGCUGAAAAGCAGAACCAGCUGUUGAUGAAGAAUCAUCAAGCUCGACCUACUGGGGCAACUGUUAUGCUUGAAGCACAUUAUAGCAAUAACCAACGCCCAAAACGCCAAAGGGAGCGUUGUAGGGGCAGCCAAAAGCCAUCCUACCAAGGUUAACAGGGUUAAGGCCCAUCCAAGGGAGGAAACAAAGCCUAUAAGCACCCAAACCUCGCUCCCAAGGCCUCAAACUUCAAUAACAAGGGCAAAGCACCUAAAACCAUGGAUGCGGACAUGUGCUAUCGUUGUGGUUCAAAGGACCAUUGGUCAUGUGUUUGCCGAGCUCCUAAAAAGGUUGUAGAUGAAUAUCAUUCUCAUCAUAAGAAGUUUGAAUCAAACUUCAUGCAAAUGGACGAAUCAGAGACUACAAAUAUGAAGGUUUCUGAUUUUCAGGAGGAUACCACCCCUAUGGAAUAUUAGAAUCUUAGACAUAGACUUAUUUUUAGUUGAAAUAAGACAUUUGAGACCGAAUUCCACCUAGUGGCCAAACCCAUCCUUUGUUUUUGGUUGAUUUUUGAACAAUUUUCCUUUAUAUUUGGAUUAUUAGUUGGUGAUUUGUUUUGGAUAUUAAGUUUUUAAUCCUUGAAUAAAUGAAAUUAUUUUGAAUUGAUACUUGUUUUUUAUAAAACUUUUAUGCGUGUGAUCGACUUAAAUUAAUUUCUCAUUCUAGGUAUGACAAGUGGGAAAGUUAGUUGUCUGGCAAAUAGUGUAACCACACACAUAGUUUUGCGUGAACACAUCUAUUUCACUAACUUCAUACCUAAGAAUGCACAUUUGAUAACCCUCUCAGGCCCAUCCAACCUGAUAGAAGGAUAUGGUAAGACACGUAUAAUGUUUGUCUAAUGGUACAAUCUUGACCAUUUCUAAGGCACUCUAUUCUCCACGUUCCGGAAUGACGUUGUUAAGUUUCAAGGACAUUAGAGAUAACAAUUACCACGCUGAAACCCACGUAGAAAAUGGAGUUGAAUUUAUGUGCAUAACUUCGUACGAAUAUGGCUAGAAUCGUAUUCUAGAGAAGAUGAAGUGUAUCCCGAUUGGUCUGUAUACUAAGACCAUACGUCCCAUAGAAUGCCAUUAUGUGGACGACCCUACUACUGGGACCGUGCAUGAAAUUACGCUUUGGCAUGAUUGUUUGGGACAUCCUGGACGAAUAGCGAUGCGUCGUAUCCUCAAAUCUUCACACGGGCAUCCACUAACCCGAAGUUUAGGUUCGAUCCAAGGAAUCGUAUGUCAAACAUAUUCAAUGGAAAAACUUAUUACUAAGCCUUCUUAUGACAAGAUUCGUUCGAAUCCUCCCAUUUUUUUACAACAGAUUCAGGGGGCAUUUAUGGACCAAUUCACCCUCCAUGCGAACCAUUUAGAUACUUUAUGGUUUUGGUUGACGCUUCCACACGUUGGUCACACGUGUGUUUGUUUUCCACAAGGAACGCUGCAUUCUCCAAACUGUUGGCUCAGGUUAUCAAGCUCAUGGCUCACCACCCUGAUUAUCCGAUCAAAUCUAUUCAAUUGGAUAAUGCUGGAUAAUUCACAUCUAAAACUUUUGAUGACUAUUGCAUGUCGAUUGGGGCUGAAGUUGAACAUCAUGAACCCUAUGUUCACACCCAUAACGGCUUGGCAGAGGCUUUCAUUAAGCACUUACAAAUGAUUGCUCAAUCGUUGGUCAUACGUACCAAGCUUCCGAUCGCUGCUUAGGGCUAUGCAAUAUUGCACGUAGCAAAGUUGGUUCGCCUGAGGCCUGUUGCGACAUAACCAUUUAGUGCCCUUUAGUUGGUUACCGGAUAUGAACUCGACAUAUCGCAUUUGCGAGUUUUUGGUUGUGCGGUUUAUGUGUCGAUCUUGCCGCCCUUACAUACAAAAAUGGGGCCUCAGUGAAGGAUGGGAAUCUAUGUCGGAUAUGAUUCCCUUCGAUUAUUCGUUACUUAGAACCUUUGACAGGCGAUCUGUUUACCGCUUAUUUCACGGAUUGUCACUUCUAUGAGACAAUUUUCUUGUCAUUAGGGGGAGAUAAAAAUGUUAACGUUCCUGAAGAACAACGCGAAUUAUAAUGGACGACUCCCACUUUGUCUCAUUUAGAUCCCUGGACCGCUCAAUCUAAAAUUGAAGUGUAGCGCAUAUUAGAUCUUCAGAGCAUAGCUAAGAGCAUACCAAAUGCUUUCACCAAUCUAGCGCGUGUGACAAGAUCACAUAUUCCAGCUGCGAAUACACCUGCAAAGAUGAAUGUACCAAAUGUAUGACAGAUUGCCCUCAUGGAAGCCUGGGACGCCAAUCUUGGUGAUCCACGUACAUUAGCGGCUAUCCAAUCAUCUGCCUCUACACAAAAGCGUGGCAGACCCCUUGGUUCAAAGAAUUCACACUCCAGAAGAGGAAAACCAAGGCACAAGGUUCUAAAGAGCCUACCGUGAAUCCGACUAUUGCUUACUUAUUAUACCCAACUCAUGAGGAAAUUCUAGAUUAUGGAAGAGUCCUUAAAGAGACGAAUCCUCCUCUCGAGAAUCGUGAGAUUUUGGUCUAUUAUGCUAGCUUAGAUGAUGUGUGAUGUAGAAAUGAGAUGAUUGUCGACGAUGCAUUAACACUUGCAGUAACUACUGAGAUUAUGUUGAGCGAUGACAUUAAACAUCUUUCCGUUGAUGAAUGUCGACGUAGAACUGAUUGGUCAAAUUGGAAACAAGAAAUCCAAGUAGAACUCGAUUCGUUUGCGAAAUGUAAGGUAUUUGGACCGAUAGCUCCUACUCUUUCACAUGUGAAGCCCGUUGGCUACAAAUGGGUUUUCGUUCAGAAGUGUAAUGAGAAGAACGAAAUUGUGCGUUACAAAGCUCGUCUUGUUGCACAAGGUUUCUCACAACGCCCUGAGAUUGACUAUGAUGAAACUUAUUCACCCGUUAUGAAUGUGAUUACUUUUCACUACCUUAUCAGUUUGGUAGUUUUCGAAAAACUGGAUAUGCAGCUGAUGGACGUAGUAACUGCGUAUCUCUAUGGGGAUCUUGAUACGAAAAUCUAUAUGAAAGUUCCUGAAGGACUUACAUUGAUUGGUUCAAAUAUUUCCAAACCCCGGAACACGCUUUCAAUUCGGCUGAUGUGUUCACUAUACAGUUUGAAAUAAUCUAGAAGAAUGUGGUAUAACUGUUUGAGUGCAUACUUGACUAGUCAGGGAUAUGUGAACAGCGAACUCUGCCUUUGUGUGUUCAUUAAGAAGUCACAUUCCGGAUUUGCGAUAGUUGCAGUAUAUGUCAAUGACAUGAAUCUUAUCAGAACUCCUAAAGAGCUCGCGAGAACCGCUGCUCACCUGAAGUCAGAAUUUGAGAUGAAAGAUCUAGGUAAGACUCGAUACUGUCUCGGUCUCUAAAUAGAGUAUUGUUCGGAUGAAAUCCUAAUACAUCAAUCGAACUACACCUAGAAGGUAUUGCACCACUUUAAUGAAGAUAAAGCGAAGUCUUCGAGUACUCCUAUGGUCUUUCGUUCGCUAGAUGCAAAACGAGAUCUCUUCCGUCCGAAGGAGGAUGAUGAAGAGAUUUUGGAGCCUAAAGUUCCUUAUCUAAGUGUGAUAGGCGCUUUAUUGUACUUAGCUCAAUGCACUAAACCCGACAUCUCCUUCGUUGUUAAUCUUUUGGCAAGAUACAGUAAUGCACCAACACCCAGACACUGGACUAGCGUGAAAGACAUCUUCCGUUACCUUAAGGGUACUACGGAUUUGGGCUUGUUCUAUCCCUAUGAAUCCUCGAAUGGUGCCUCACCUUAUGCUCCUCGAGUUGAUUCUCGCCUUGUUGGUUAUGCCAACACAUGAUACUUAUCUGAUCUGCACAAGGCGUGCUCUCAAACGGGUUAUGUCUUUACCGUUAGAAGCAUCACAAUAUCUUGGAGGUCAACUAAACCGAUCUUAGUUGCCACUUUGUCUAACCAUGCUGAAAUUCUCACCUUACAUGAAGCAACUCGGGAAUGCUUUUGGUUGAAAGUAGUAAUGGGCCAUAUUCAAAGCUCAUGCGAUCUUUAUCCUGCCGUUGAUGUCCCGACGACGAUCUUUGAAGACUACACAACUUGCAUCGAACAUCUUAAGAAAGGUUAUAUCAAAUGAGACAACACCAAGGACAUUGCGUCAAAGUUUUUCUUUUCACAUCAACAACAAGAGCAUCAGAAGAUUGAAGUCACGCAAAUUUGUUCACAAGACAAUCUGGCCGACCUCUUCAUCAAAUCACUGCCGAAGACGACGUUUCAGAAGCUUGUUCAUGGAAUUGGUAUGCGUAAACUUUCUAAGUUGUAACUUUGCUAUUUCUUUUUGGAAUUAUGUCAAACUCAGGGGGAGUAUCUUGUAGAUACUUGCUUGAUCUUAAUGUACUUUUUUCCCUAUGAUUAGGAGCAUUUUUCCCACUGGGUUUUUGCUACCUAAUUAGGUUUUAACGAGGCACACACCUUGGGCUGGUCAUAUCCCUGAUGACGUCCCGUAGACGUUUAUUUGACUUUUGCAUUUCUCACGCAUUUUUUCUUAGAUUAUGGAUUUUGUCCCUACUCGGGUUUUUGCCAUAGCCUUAGGGUUUUUUUAGUGAGACUUACUACUUAUGCAAGUUUUUACCUUAUUGAGAAUAAGUGUUGUUCUUUAGAAUCAAUGCGAAUGAGUCGACUUCCUCAACUUCUGUAUGAUGCUAAAUCUACCUUGAGUAUUUACACACUCAAGGGGGAAUGUUGGAAACAUUCAUAGUUUAAGUGUGAUUGUGUAAAUCCUAAAUUAGAUUUGAUUCUAGUUAUCAUUUCCUAUUGUAUCUUGUAUUCCUUGCGGAUGAACGAAUAUCUUCUCUCAUUAUAUUACUAUAAAUAAAGGAAAAAUGUAGGAGGGAUAACAACACACAUAUUUCUCUACAUUUCAACAAAUACAUCUCUCUCUCUUCUUAUCCUUGCCGCCGGCCACCCUAAAUUUAUCAGAUAAAAUAGACCACAACAUUACUUUUUUUUUACUUGAACUAGGGUGGAUUCAAAAAAUAAAUUGAACUAAAGUAGAAUAAAAAUGAAUAAAAAAAUCAAAUUGAAAUAGAAAUCCGAACCGAAUUGAAGUACUCAAGUUUCGAUUUCAGCAAUUUGAAAGCUGAACCAAAUUGUCUUAAAACAACGUCGUUCUACAAGUUUUCUUAUAAGGCUAUGUGCUUAAACCCAAAAUUAAUAAACUUUUUUAUCUAUGGCAAUAAACCUUUUUAUUUAAUUUCAUAAAGGCUCACAUCUAAAUACCUCCGAGUAUGGCGCGACAUCAGUGCUUACGUUCUGCAUUGUACAUGAUUGUCUUGUCAGCAAGGUUCUAAAAGACGCUAGCGCUAGUCGGGCGGCGGGCUGGAGCCUAGCACUUUAGCAGUUUGGCGGGGCCUAGGAGAAUUUAAGUAAAUUUAUUAUAUUUCGUGUAAAUAAGUGUUUUUCUACAUAAAAUAUAUGUAAUUACAUCAUAAACUACAAAAUAGAAUGACAUAUAUAUUAUGAAGUAUUGGAAUAUAAUUAAAACAUGGGGAACAAGCAUAUAAUAUGUGUCAUUUAAGCAUUUAACAAGUCUCUUACAAUUUACUGAAAAAAAAUAAAAUGCAAUAUGGAAGUUAUCUAUUUUCUGUCUAAGUAAGUCGCAACCUAGAUGGAUCUGGGAGGGUUAGGCGGGUGCCUAGGCGGUUUAGGCUGACGCCUCAGCAGGUCUAGGGCCCUUUCUUAAUUUCCAAACGCCUAUGCAUUAAUUGGAGCAGUGACCAACCGCUUAGUGUCGAGACGGGGCCUAGGAGGCGCUAAGCGGGGAUUUUUAGAAUAAUAGUUGAACCGCUUCUUGAUCAUAAAACUCUUGUGCGACGGUAUUUUUGCAGACUUGGAGAACCCCUACGAAGUUUACAGCACAUACUUCUCUCAUCCUCCUUGCUAUGAUUUUUCAUAUUUUAUUUUUUAUUUUUUUAACCAAUUUUCAAAUUUGUUAAAAAAUAUCUGACUCGAAAAAAUAGAACUGGAAACAAACCCCAAAAAAAAAAAAAAAAACUGAAGAAAACAAAAUCGAACCAAACCAAAAAAUAAUUUCCAUUUGGUUUUUCGGUUUUGGCAAACAACCGAACCGAAUGAACCAAAUCCACCCUUAACUUUAACAUUAAAUUUCUUAGGCGUUCAUAAAAGCCGAAUUUUCAUGUCUUUCGACAUAUAACGAUAGUGUGUUCGGUCUUAAAGGGUGUGCCAAUAGAUGUUAGUCUCAAAAUCUAUCUCAAUUGCAAAGCUGAGGAUUUCGAAAUCUCUUGGUCCUUCAAGUUUGUGUUGCGGGCAUGCUAACUUGCAGCUUGGAGGCCAAUCGAGUAAAAUGUAAUUGGCGCUUUGUUUGACUUCUUUCAAAACCAUUGUGCAUACUGAGGAAGGAACGCAUCUCGGUUGUGCAUCCUUGUGCCUUAUGUGCAAGGACUUUGAUGGGUCUUGUUACAUGAUGUGUGAAUUCGUAUGUUUUUGUGAUAGGCGAGAAAUACAUAAGGUCGAGAUAUUCGCAUGUGAUAGAUACGAUGAAUGUGUAGUGGAUUUGGUUAUCAGGGUGUGGUAGGUGACCUGAGUGCUACGAUGAAUCGUAUAAAUCCAAGCAAACUGGUUGUGGGGAUUGAUUUGAAAAGGAACUCAAAUGUAAACUAUAAUAAUCUAAAUUAAAAUUUGAAGUGCGAGGUGGAAAAUAAAUCGAAAUAUACAAAAUUAAAAUACUGAUAUAGACUUUAAAUUACUGUAUUGAAGUGCAGGGCAAACAUGGAAUUAAAGCGAAUAACAAAAAAUAAUUAAAAAGAUAAAUUUUACCUAGUGUAGAAUGGAAAGCGAGUGAUAUAAUGCAAAAAUAUGGUUCGUGAUGUGAAUUUAAACCAACCUAGUAAAAAGAUUAAUUCAAACUAAAUUUAAUCGCAAGUGCAUGAAUCAAUUAUGGUAGAAAUUUAUAUAUACUACAUCGAAUCCACCGGGGUUGAAUUACCAAUUGAGUCUAUAACUAGUACUUAACAAAUUGAAAUAAAGAUUGGACUUGUAUCAAAGAAAAAUUAAACCUACACAAUGACUAAACAGAAAUAUGGUUGAAACAAAUGUAAGAAAACACUAAGGUUUUGAUUCCACCACUAUUGUCGUACCCUAAUAUCUAAUUGUGAAUUCAUGAAUUAUUAGAUAUUAACAAAAAUAACUUAUGUACACAUGUACGUGGUCAGAUACACAUGUUAAUAAUUUCCCAAAGAGAUGUGAGUUUUACCAUGGUUAGGCUUAAACCCCAGUUAUUCCUACCAUCUAUAUAUCCGUAGUUCGGUAUACACAAACAAGCGAAAAUCCAAUUAAGCACAAUGAGAAACAAAUUAACUACUCAUUAACUUAGUCACGUUAAACAAAUAGCUAAUUUACAAGGAAGUCACACAAACCAAUAUUCAUCUAUGGUCAAAUCAAAAUACAAGUUCAUGAUUCUCAUUCUCAAAGAAUAUAUAGAAUCCAAUUCAUGAUCAGAAAUAAAUUCAUAUGUAACUAAUUUCAAUAUCAAAAUUCUAGGCUAUGGUCAAGCACAAAGAACCAAAUAUCAAUUCAACUGGUGAAUGAAAAUUAAUCACCAAUCUGAAAUCCAUGGAUUGAACAAUUAUAAAACUAGAGUAAUCAUAAUUAAUUCCAAUCUGAUCAAAAGUCAAGAAUGCCCAAUUCAUCUUGCUGUACUCAAAACCAGACGAACUGGAAAUAGAAUUGGUAAAGUAACUUCCCAUCGUUCUCUGCUUUCACUUGACUAAAACUCCAACGGUGGGAUUAUAAAAUUGCAUCCACUCUCACCGCUUAAUUGUCGAUCGGUAGUUUCCAAAAAAAACAAAAAAAAUAGGGUAAAUUACACUUUCAUAUAUCAGGUUUGGGGUAUAUUUCAAUUCCUUACAACAUCUUUAAAACAUUUCACUUUCAUACCUUAAGUACUAUUUUAUUUCAAAAUAAUACAUCCGUUACAUUUUCCAUUCAUUGAUUUGUUAAAUGCUAACGUGGCUGCCGCAUAUAUGUCAUGUGGCCGCCAAAUGUGAAGAAGAAGAAGAAUAAGAGGGAGGAAGAAAAGAAAAAAAAAAUUGAAACGAAACCCACAUCUGUGAUGAGAAGAAGGAGAAGGAGAAAAAGAAGGAAGAGGGAGGAGGGUCGCCGGGCCAAGAGGGGGGGACCGGAGGUGGGUCACUGGCGGGGGGGGGGAACAAAUAUUUUCUUCUUCUUCUUCUUCUCUGUCGCUGGGGUGGGGGGGGGGAGGGAGGAGGGUUGCCGGGCUGAGAAGGGGGACGGGAGGAGGGUCGCUGGGCGGGGGGGGGGACAAAUUUUCUUUUUCUUUUUCUUUCUUUUGGGUCGCUUGGGGGGGGGGGACAAUUUUCUUCUUCUUCUUCUUCUUCUUCUUCUUCUUCUUCUUCUUGUAGAUGUAGGUUUCAAUAUAUUUUUUUUUUUGAGAAAAUUCAGGUUUAAAAAAAAAAAAACUAUUUUAUUUGCCACGUGGCAGAUAUUUGGCAGCCACGCCAGAAUUUAACAGAUCAAUGGAUGAAAAAUGUAACGGAGGUAUUAUUUUGAAAUAAAAUAGUACUUAAGGUAUGAAAGUGAAAUGUUUUAAAAAUGUUAUAAGGAAUUGAAAUAGACCCUAAACCUGAAGUAUGAAAGUGUAAUUUACCAAAAAAAAUUUGUUCGGUUGAAAUCUCUCAUCCGUAAAUAAUAACAAAGCCCACGUCAGCACCAGCACUUGGUUCAAAUAAUUAGAACUCACAUGGCCAAUUGAUCUUGAGCUCAAAAUCAAAUAAUAAUUAAUUAAAUAAAUGAAGGGUAUAAUAUAGUCCUGUUCAGAAUUAUAGUCUUGCAAAAAAAAUAUUUUUAAUGAACAUAGUCAUGCCAUACUCAUAUGUCAUCUUCAAUGUUCAACAAUUUAUUAGUUUUAAGUUUAUACUUUAAAUUUAGUGGUUAAUUAAAUAAAAUUACUGUUGGUUGUUUUCAAAUAUAACCGUUGAGUUUGAAUCAAUUAUUCUAACUGAAAAAUAAAACUCUAAAAAAAGCAAAGAGGGAGCUCCAUUUAGCUAGCCUGAUGCCUCUUUGACAUUUCAAGCUCAAGAUUUGAACUUGGAAACUCUAUUCUUGCUUCAUCAUGGGCACUAAUUUUGUUAACUUUCUCAGACUCCGCUGGACCAUGAACAUGGUAAGAAAAUAAAUUGGCUCCCUUGGAUUAGGACGUGUUCGAACUCGAGUGGCCGACUUGUAAAUUAACUCAAGCUAGCGCACUAACUUGACUUUAACGAGAGAUGACAAAUCUAGGUCCAAACAUUACCCCGAUUCUCAUGAGCCUCGGCUUAGAAUUGCAAGUCUUUCUUACUUGAACCCAAUACGCCUAAUCAUCAAUGCUUCUCAAGUAAUUCAAGUUUCGCCAGCAGCUUGAGCGGAAGCUUCCCCGCAGUGAAGUGACCGUUUUACCCUUUUAAGUCCACGCUUCCCUCAUCGGUCUUCCUUCCUAAAUAUAUUGAUCACUAUUGCAAGUCUUUCUUUAUGUUUUUUAAUUCAACCCAACGACUCCAAUACGCCUAAUUACCAAAGCUUUUAAAUUAAUUAAUAUUUUAAGUUUCCGCAUGAAGAUGCGUGCAGUGCAGCUUGAGAGGAGGCUUCCCCCGCAGGUAUUUAGAAUGCAUCUGUGUGGAAGAUCCAAUGUCUGUUCUGCAUCUUAAUCUGCACGAUUAAAUUCAGUGGUUGUUAAUUUUACAUAUCAUGAUCAAUCCGCUAAUUUUCCAUAUCUCAAGUGUGAAGGGCAAGCAAUUUAAAGUUCCUCCUGUUCAAAUCACCCAGAACCCAGGUUGCUAGCUAGGUUUUGUGUUCAAAUUUCGUUUUUGUUAUUUAUUUCGUUUUCUUUUCGGCGUUUGAAGGCCUCUGUGCUGAGGCUCAGUGAUAGCAGUGGUGAGUUUCUUUUUCAGAGAUUCCUUCUUCCCAGUAAUAUAUCAAUUAUUUAGGUCUGUUAGGGUUUUUUUAUUGCCAAGUUUUAUACAACAUAGUUAGUGAAGACACAGGUAUUUGAGAAAUAUUUAAUGGCAUGGCAGAUAUUUCUCAGCAAAACUGAGAGAGUAGUUAUAUUUUGUUUAAAUAUUUGUAUAGUUUUUGGUAGGGAUUAGCUUUAUGGCACUCCAGAUCUUCAGCGACUGAUCAGAGCCUAUUACCAAUCUGCUGCUACUCUAAACCUUCUCAGGGUGUUCGUCACCGGAACUUACGCAUCUAUGCAGAGGGUAGUGGAACUUGGAUUUUACAGAUCACAGCGAGCAGGGUGAUAGGUUUGUUUCCUCAUUUUUACCAUUUUAGAACUUAGAUUAGUGAUAAAUUAAUUCGAAUCAUGUGGCAUGAACUUAAACCUCUGUUUGGCAAAGUGGGCUCUUUACCCCCAAAGUUGCUUGCUUUUGGUAAUAUUUGGAAUUGUGCUUCUAAGCUGUUUUUCAAGCUUUUGGCCAUACUAAAUGGAGCUAAAUCGAACAGCUCUUUUGCUGCAUUGUAUUUGCUUUCCUAAAUCGAUUUUUUUUUUUUUUUAAAUUGUCAAUGGGUUUUGUAGAUCAAAGUUCUUCAGGAUGAAAAUUAUGUUUCAAAUUGGAUUGCGAUAUGAAUAUUUACACAAUCAAGGUGUUGAAUUCAUCUUUGUUUUGGUGUAUUGUGGUUUUGAAUGUUAUUUAGUGCAUUAUAGCGUCAACUAAAAUGUAGUUUUGUAUAUUUUAAGUACUCAUUUUGAUUUUGAGCAGUAAGAGAGAGAUUUAGCACGUAUUUGAGGAAAUAAGAACAACUUAUUUUGAAAUGGCUAGAGUUUGAGAUUCUCAGAAGGAAGCUCCUAUAAGAUUUUGGUUUUUGGUGUUGAUUCGAAUGAGUUUCAGUUUGAUAUUUAUUAAUUUUUGUUUUGUGGGUAGUAUUUUUCUUCAUGUUGCUAAGAUUUUGGUUCAUGCAGUUUUAAUUAGGAAUCUGAAUAAUCGUUUUAAUUUUGGUUAAUGCAGGAUUAGGAAUUUAGGAUUCCUAUAAGUUUGUGGCGGGAGGGUGGAGUGGUUUCAAGACGACAUCGUUGAUAGUCGAGGCUCAUCUGUGAAAAAUGUAAGAUUUUGUGUGGGUUGUUUUGUUUUGUUAUUCCAAAAGCGUAACACUUCAGAUGCUGUAAGUAUGAGUUAAUCGUUGUAUUUUUAAUUCAAUGUUUUAUUUGUUUGCUUAGUACCCGAGAAGACAAAGGAAAGUAAACAAGGAAAAUUGGAUUUUUAAUUCACUGUUGUAUUUUUAUUCACUGUUUUAUUUGUUUACUAAGCCUGAACUUCACUCUUUUCCAUCUACUUACAAUUGAUUUCAGUUUUUAGGUUCAUGCUGUCACAGCAAUCAUUUACAUGUUUGAAACAUAAGUUUUCAUACAAUUUUUAAUCCCGCAGCAAUGCGCGGGCACCAUUAACUAGUGUUUACUAAGCCUAAACUUCACUUUUUUCCAUCUACUUACAAUUGAUUUCAGUUUUUAGGAUCAUGUUGUCACAACAAUUCCUCCACCACUCUUUAAUCCUCAUUUCUUCCAUGUAUUUCCAUUUCUUCCAUGUAUUUCCAUUGUGUAUCUAACAAAAAAUGAAAACUAAAAACGGAAAGGUUAACAAAUGGGCUCCUACUUAUUCAAACCUGUCCAGUGCACUAUAAAUUUGAUGACUUGCAAUAAGAAACCGAGUAAGUUCUCCUGUCUUUAUGUCUCUCAUUAAGUCCCAAUGAAUCCGACUGCUACCCAUUUGUUUUAAGCAACAAAACAUAGUUAGCUCAGUAGUGGUACCUCACUGGUCAGUACAAUUAACUCCCUAACCUCGCUCUCACACAACAGUUUUCUUUAGUUUUCCAAAUCCUAGCUAUUUUUUGCUCCUUCGUUUCUAAUUAAUAAAUUUCGUUGUUGAUGUUGUACUGUUAUCGAAGAGGCGUUUGCUUUCUCAAAAGUUGGGCUGCUUAGAGAUCACGAGGGUUGAUCUCAGAAAUCGAAGAGGCGUUUGCUUUCUCAAAAGUUGGGCUGCUCAAAGACCACGAAGGCCGAUCUCAGAAAUCGAAGAGGCGCUCGCUUUCUCAAAAGCUGGGCUCCCCAGAGACCACGAGGGCCGAUCUCAGAAAUCGAAGAGGCACCUACUUUUCCAGCCUUGUCAGCACCUGUCACACGCACACUCAGCUUUGCGGAAAUUAUGGGCAUUCUGUCAAAGACUUCUGGGGAAGUAGAAAACACAUGAAUCUUACUGUUCAAUCACCCACUUCCCACACGCAACAAUAGCUCAUGGGCUCAUGGGUACCACAGAUAACUUUGCCAAAGUUCUCUGCCAAAGUUGAGCACGUGAAGCUUGCAGCUCCCACUACAUCGCUCUGACCAAGAAGGGUAAAAGAAUAGCAAAGAAACAGCACUAACAAAGUUUAGACACAUAAAUUUUGAAGGUCUAGCUACCAUAUUAUUACCCACAAGGGUAAAGGAACAGUACCACUGCUGGAUAAUUGGAAAGUCCCUGUGUGUCAACCUCUGUGCUUCGUGGCAAGGUAGACUAGCAAACAUGCCCAACCUUUACUCACAUUCGAGAAAACACUCCCAAUAAGAUUGCUUGCUCCAAAAUCGAAGAGGCACUAUCCUCCGAAUCUAAAGAGCCAGACUCCCAACAUGACUACUUUCUUAAAAAUCGAAGAGAGGGUAAAGGAACAGUACCAUUGCUGGAUAAUUGGAAAGUCCCUGUGUGUCAACCUCUGUGCUUCGUGGCAAGGUAGACUAGCAAACAUGCCCAACCUUUACUCACAUUCGAGAAAACACUCCCAACAAGAUUGCUUGCUCCAAAAUCGAAGAGGCACCGCCCUCCGAAUCUCGAGAGCCAGACUCCCAACAUGAUUACUUUCUCAAAAAUCGAAGAGACACUGCUCCCCGAAUCUCGAGAGCCAGACCCCCAGCAUGAUUGCUUUCUCAAAAAUCGAUGAGGCAUCGUUCUCCGAAUCAAUCGAAGAGGCGCUCGCUUUCUCAAAAGCUGGGCUGCUCAGAGACCACGAGGGUCGAUCUCAGAAAUCGAAGAGGCACCUACUUUUCUAGCCUUGUCAGCACCUGUCACACGCACACUCAGCUUUGCAGAAAUUAUGGACAUUCUGUCGAAGACUUCUGGUGAAGUAGAAAGCACAUGAAUCUUACUGUUCAAUCACCCACUUCCCACACGCAACAAUAACUCAUGGGUACCACAGAUAACUUUGCCAAAGUUCUCUGCCAAAGUUGAGCACGUGAAGCUUGGAGCUCCCACUACAUCGCUCUGACCAAGAAAGGUAAAAGAAUAGCAAAGAAACAGCACUAACAAAGUUUAGACACAUAAAUUUUGAAGGUCUAGCUACCAUAUUAUUACCCACAAGGGUAAAGGAACAGUACCACUGCUGGAUAAUUGGAAAGUCCCUGUGUGUCAACCUCUGUGCUUCGUGGCAAGGUAGACUAGCAAACAUGCCCAACCUUUACUCACAUUUGAGAAAACACUCCCAACAAGAUUGCUUGCUCCAAAAUCGAAGAGGCACCGUCCUCCGAAUCUCGAGAGUCAGACUCCCAACAUGACUACUUUCUCAAAAUCGAAGAGAGGGUAAAGGAACAGUACCAUUGCUGGAUAAUUGGAAAGCCCCUGUGUGUCAACCUUUGAGCUUCGUGGCAAGGUAGACUAGCAAACAUGCCCAACCUUUACUCACAUUCGAGACAACACUCCCAACAAGAUUGCUUGCUCCAAAAUCGAAGAGGCACCGCCCUUCGAAUCUCGAGAGCCAGACUCCCAACAUGAUUACUUCCUCAAAAAUCGAAGAGACACUGCUCUCCGAAUCUCGAGAGUCAGACCCCCAGCAUGAUUGCUUUCUCAAAAAUCGAAGAGGCAUCGUUCUCCGAAUCUCGAGAGCCAGAUACCACAGACCACUUUUUCAAAGUGUUCUGACAGAGUUAAAACAUGUGAAACUGGCAGCUCCCACUACCGUGCUAUGACCAAGCAGGGUAAAGGAAUAACAUUACUACUUGUUGUUAGGGAGACUCCUAUAUAUGUCGACCUCCAUCCCCAAUAGACAGGCAGACCUGCAAAAAUGCUCAACCCUUCAUCAUAUCUGAGAGGGCACUCCCAACGAAGCCUUUCGAAAUAUUCAGCUUUCUUUCCCCCCGAUAAUACCUCUGCAAACAAGCUAUACUAGAGCAAGAAUAUCUCAUAUCAUCAGGGUUAAAAGCAAGAGUAUCCCAUAUCAUCAUGCUUUUUCCCUGUCUUUUCUUUUGGCCUUGUUUUUACCUGCAAGACAAGGAGAAAGAGAGCAAUCAGUCAGCACUUGGAAUUAAGCUUCCAGCCAGGAACUGACUGCCUGGAACCCCUUACCUGAUUACUUACCUGGCAUUGCUCUCGAGUACUCAUCUUCAACAUCUUAUGUUUCCAGGGAAGAUUCCGCAUCUGCUUGAGGAACAGAUAGGGCAAGUGCGAAGGAUACAAGGAAGCAUGUGGAGACAAGCGUAACAGCACCCGUGCCGAUACAUCCAUUACUCUGUCAAAAGCAAAAGUAUCCCAUAUCAGCAGGGUGGAACGUACUCUAGAUUUGAUGGACUUGUUUUGACCCUCAAAUUCUUCAGUCGGCCUUAUACUCUGGAGGAAACCAGAAAACCCUCCAGCUCAGUUCAAGAAUAAGCCUGUGGAAAGUUACUUCUUCAAAAGCAAAAGUAUCUCAUAUCAUCUCUUCUCAUUUUUCUUCUCUUUAUCCUUCAUGCUGCUGCAAGAUGGGGAGAAGGUGAACAAUCAGUCGGAGCUCUGAUUGCUUACCUUGUCUCUCACCUCUUUCAGCAGACCCCCUAGCUCGGCGACUUGGGGGACUCCUACUACAUGGUUUGUAUCGCGCUUGACCAAGCCUGAAACUACAAGUAAGCUUCAAGUGAAAUUGAUACAUUACCUUGUGCAUCUCCACCAGUUAAAGAUACCACCCCUGGAUGGAGGAAGAGUACUUCCAGAGAAGAUGCCACAUCUACCUAUGAGACAGAUAAGGCAAGUCAAGACGACACCACACUCCGAUACUUAGAAGUUUUGUGAUUACGAGAUCAUUCUCCCACAAUAUUUCCUAAUGUCAUUUGUACUAAAUCAUUCACUUGUACUCACUAAAAGAGAGCUUGAACCUAUGUACUUGUGUAAACCCUUCACAAUUAAUGAGAACUCUUCUAUUCUGUGGACGUAGCCAAUCUGGGUGAACCACGUACAUCUUGUGUUUGCUUUCCUAUCUCUAUCCAUUUAUAUACUUAUCCACACUAAUGACCGGAGCAAUCUAGCGAAGAUCACAAAAAGCGACCGUUUUCGCUACCUAGGAUCUAUCUUGCAAGAGAACGGAGAAUUAGAUGGAGAUCUCAACCAUAGAAUACGAGCUGGAUGGAAAGAGUGCAUCCGGCGUGUUGUGUGACCGUCGUAGGCCACUGAAGCUUAAGGGAAAAUUUUAUAGGACGGCAAUAAGGCCAGCGAUGUUGUAUGGCACAGAAUGUUGGGUGGUGAAGCAUCAACACGUACACAAAAUGGGUGUAGCGGAGAUGAGGAUGCUUCGUGGGAUGUGUGGGCACACGAGAAAGGAUAAGAUUGGGAAUGAGGAUAUUCGAGGUAAAGUAGGAGUAGCCGAAAUUGUAGGAAAGAUGAGAGAAAAUCGGCUCCGGUGAUUUGGACAUGUGCAAAGAAGGCCGACUGACGCUCCGGUUCGAAGAUGUGACUACGGGACAGAGGUUCAGGGCCGAAGGGGUAGAGGAAGACCUAGGAAAACUUUGGAAGAGACUCUAAGAAAAGACUUAGAGUACUUGGAUCUAACGGAGGACAUGACACAAAACCGAGCGCAAUGGCGUUCUAGGAUUCAUAUAGCCGACCCCACUUAGUGGGAAAAGGCUUUGUUGUUGUUGUUGUUGUUGUUGAUGUUGUACUGUUAAAGAGGCACUAAUGUCUAAAAUGAUCAGGUAUGUUUUUAAAGCAUGUAUAUAUUCUUUGUAGUUUAGAAUUGGCAAUAUCCAAAAUGCUACCAUUUAUACAUUAAUGCGUCUGUGUGGGGUCUUUCUCGUGUAUUCUGAACAAGAUGAAGCCAAGACACAAACAGCAAUAAAAAGAUAGAAAACAACGGAUGUUUGCCACUUUGUAGUGUAUUUGUAAAGCUUCAUUUAUAUUUUGUGUUUUCUAUGCAGUAGAGAAACAGAGGUCGCACUUGGUGCGAUGGCAAGUGCCUUCGCCCAUAAGCGGUAGGUCUCGGGUUCGAGACUUGGGAGCAGCCUCUCCAUAAAAUGGGGGUAAGGCUAGCCGACAUUCACCUCUCCCAGACCCUGCGUAAAGCGGGAGCCUUGUGCACUGGGUACGACCUUUUUUAUGCAGUAGAGAAACCACAUAACAGAAGAAAACUUCUCGUCUACCAAACAUCCAAGAGGCAAGUCUUAAAAUGAUGAUGAAUCCUUUCAGGAGUACGAUGGCGAUGAGCACUGGAGAAACCUGUACACCUUUCCCUGCUUCAGCUUCUCAAUGGAAAUAUGAUGUGUUUUUGAGUUUUAGAGGUGAAGACACUAGAAAGGGAUUCACAGACCACUUACACACUGCAUUGGAAAGUCAUGGAAUAAUAACUUUUAGGGAUGACCCUAAACUUCAUAAAGGGGAAUCUAUUUCUCCAGGACUUCUUACUGCAAUUGAACAAUCAAGAUGUGCACUCAUCGUUCUCUCAGAAAAUUAUGCAUCAUCAUCAUGGUGCUUGAUUGAACUUUUACAUAUUCUUAAGUGCAUGGAAGCAAGAGCAGCAGUGCUACCAAUUUUUUAUAAUGUUGAUCCCUCUGAUGUACGAAAGCAAACAGGACGUUUUGCAGAAGCCUUCAUUAAAUAUGGAAACAACCCUGGGGCUGACGAAAAGGAGGUGGAAAGUUGGAGAUAUGCUUUAAUGAAAGUGGCAAAUUUCUCCGGGUGGGAUUCAAGGGACUGGUAACAUUUUGAUUUUUCUCGCAACCGUGUCCUCCUUAUAUAAUGACACACACACCCACACACACCCACACCCACACACCCACACCCCUUGUGUGACUUCUGUUUGAGGAAUAGAAAUAGAGCCAAUUAUAUCACAAAUUACAAUGGACAUAGCUAUAAAUGCCAUUAAACGAAUUCCAUCUAUAGUUCGAUAACUCUUAUACAAUGCACAUCAUAUCUAGGUGUGUGAUUAUUGUGUUUUGACUUGACUCAAUGCAAAAAAUAGUAAAAACAUUUUGGAACUUAUAUAUCUAACUAUUCUUUUCCAUAGGUAUGAAGCAAGGCUUGUCAAAGAUAUUGUUCAAGUGGUAUGGAAAAAGUUGCGCCCAACAUUAUCAUGUCAUGUGGGAGACAUUGUUGCCAUCGAUUCAAGGUCGAAACCAGUUAUUAAUUUGUGUUUAGAUGCAACGUUGAAUGAUGGUUGCUUUAUUGGGAUAUGGGGGAUGGGCGGUAUUGGUAAGACAACUAUUGCAAGAGUUGUGUACGAGAGAAUCUCUCAUGAGUUUGAAUUCCAAAUAUUUCUAGCUGAUGUUAGAAGUACUGUCGAACAAGGUGGUCUACCUCACCUGCAAAAGCAACUUCUUUGUAAAAUCGGGAUGGAAGAAAAUGACAAAUGGGAUGUUCAAGAAGGAGCAGCAAUCAUACGCAGGUUCCUAUGUGGCAAAAAGGUUCUUUUAGUUCUUGAUGAUGUGAACCAUUUGCAUCAAUUAGAAUAUUUGGCUGGAAAUCAAGAGUGGUUUGGAUUGGGGAGCAGAGUUCUCAUUACAACUAGAGAUGAGCAUUUGCUACUUAAACACGGAGUGGAGAGACGGUUUGAGGUUAAAGGACUCAAUAACGAUGACUCUCUUCAACUUUUUAGCCGGAAUGCCUUUAAGAAAGAUUGCCCUGAACCUUGUUUUGUUCAUUUGUCAAAUCGUGUGGUAAAUUAUGCCAAAGGUCUUCCACUAGCUCUUAAAGUCUUGGGAUCUUUUUUGUACGGAAGAGAUUUAAGUUCAUGGAACAAUGUGUUGGAUAAACUAAGAGAAAUUUGUAAUUCAGAAGUUUUUGAGACACUUAAAAUAAGUUACGAUGCUCUAGAUGACAAUGAGAAGAAAAUUUUUCUAGACAUUGCAUGUUUCUUUAAUGGAGAGGAAAAAGAUGGAGUAAGACAGGCACUUGAAGCUAGUGGUUUUUAUGCACAUAUUGGAAUAGAUGUCCUUAUUGAGAAAUCUCUCUUAACUGUUAAUUCAGUCGGUCAGCUGUCGAUGCAUGAUUUACUCCAAGAAAUGGGUCAAGAAAUUGUCCGUCGAGAGUCUCCUGAUGAUCCAGGCAAGCGUAGCAGGUUGUGGCGUACAGAUGACAUCAAUCGUGUCCUGAGCGAAAAUGCAGUAAGAGGCUCUUAUUACAGUACUGGAUUUGAUUGCACUAGUUAUGCUUUGCUUAUGUUAUGACCUAGAAUAUAUUCAUGUUGACCAGGGAACAGAAACAAUUGAAUGUAUAAUCAUGGACCCAGAUGAGCUAGGAGCAGUCCAAGUGAAUGCUAAAUCCUUUUCAAUGAUGAAAAAUCUGAGAUUCCUCCGGCUAUAUAAUGAGAACCUCUUUAACAGGCUUGAAUAUCUUCCCAAUAGUUUGCAGUUUCUUCAAUGGUGCAGCUUUCCUCUAAAAACUUUGCCGUCAUCUUUUUGUCCAGAGCAUCUAGUGGAACUUCACAUGGUGUAUAGUAGCCUUGAACAUCUUUGGAAGGGAAUAAAGGUAAUUCUCUCACUCAUUGAUUUUUAUUAACUACAUUAACAUCAUGCACUGCUAAUUUUGCUAUGUUUUCACAUGAUAACAGCAUGCGUACAAUUUGAAAAUCCUUGAUCUUAGUGAGUCUCCAGUUCUUGUGGAAACUCCAGACUUCAGAGGUAUGCCAAAUCUGGAGUAUCUGAAUCUUUCACUUUGCGACCAAUUGUAUGAAGUUGACCAGUCUCUGGGGACACUUGAAAGACUUCAGGUUCUGAUGUUGAUUGGUUGCAGAAACCUUGCGCAUCUUCCAAGAAGUGUAUCUGGUUUAAAGUCUCUGAGAGUUCUUGAUGUUUAUGGUUGCUCAAGGCUUAAAAAUUUGCCAGAAGACUUGGGCCAUGUUGAGAGUUUGGAACGGCUUGAUGUGUGUGGAACUGCUAUAACUGAACCACCUUCUUACAUUGGUCUUUUUAGGAACCUGAAGAAAUUAUCAUUCGACAGUUUUACAAAAUAGAAGUUCAAGUUGGCCACAUUUGUGGUUGUCUUCUUCAUCUGGUUGGCAAUCUUUAACGCACUUGAGUCUACGAGACUGCAAGAUUUUGGAUGGAGGAAUUUUAAAUGAUAUCGGCUGCCUCUCCUCAUUAAGGCAUUUGGUUCUAGCCCGAAAUCCUCUUUCUAGCUUACCCAUGAGUAUUUGUCAACUCUCCAAACUUGAAUACCUUGAUGUGUCUGGUUGCUACUGUCUUCAAACAUUAAUCCCAGAGCUUCCUUCUGCAAUAUCUUUUGUUAACGCUUCCAAUUGCACGGCAUUGGAAUCAGCUCGUGUAGACAUGAUUAAGCUUUUUGCUAACUGUUUCAAGCGGGUGGAGAAGCAAGUUUGCACGAGUAUGAUAUUUGAUUGUCUAGGAUGCAAGUUUGUGGUUCCUGGAAGUGAAAUUCCAGAGUGUCAUGUUAUAUGAAUUUGGUUGAUUCAUGUUUCUCUCACUUCAUAAAAUUUGCUUCUAAUUUGAUAUAGGAAUUAAUUUGGAAAGUUUUCUUAAUCUUAAUAACAAUUUUCAAUUUAAAUAUAUUUUUUAAUGAAAUAGUCUAUCUUUUAAAAUAUUUAUCAAUAAAAUAAUGUACCUAUAUAUAUAUAAUUUUUUUUUUGCCAACUAUAAAUUUUUACCAUAAUUUACCUAUAUAAUAAUGUACCUGUUAUUUAAUUUUUACAACACUAAUGUAUCUUAAAAAUAAUUUACUUAUUGUUUAGUUUUAGCAAAAAUAAUUUACCUACUGUGUAUAAUUGGUGAAGCUAAUGAUGUACAUAUUGUUUAAUUUUUUAAAAAUUAAUGUAUGUACAAAAAUAAUUUAUCUAUUGUUCAAAUUUUAGGAUAAAAAUUUACAUGUUUUUAUUUAACAAUAAUGUAUCUACAAUUUUAUUUUUGUAUGAAUAUAAUUUACCUACUUUUUAAUUUUAUAUGAAACUAAUUUACCUACUGUGUCAGUAAUAUAUCUACAAUUUUACAUACAAUAUUUACCUUUUUUUUUUCUCACAACAAUAGUGUAUCUACAAUUUUGUUUUUGUAUGAAUAUAGUUUACCUACAAUUUAACUUUUCAAAAAAUGUAUCUUCUAUUUUAUAUUUUACUAUCAUAUAUAUGUUUCUGUGUUCGCAAAAUAAUUUAUCUAAAGUUAUAUAGUUAAGAGAUAUGCUAAUGAAUUAUAUUAAUUCAUUAUUAGACUGAUAUAAGAAAUUGUUAAAAACGUUAGUUAUAAUGGUUGGCUAAUAAUGGUUGUAUGAGAACAGUUAUAGAAAGUUGUGGCAUAAAUUGUAAAUAACUUAUAUUAAUAGGUUAUUUAUUUUCUUAUGUGGUAAUUUAUUUAAAUUUUGGGUUUUGAUUGAAUGUUUAUUCAUAAGUGGGUUUUUAUCUGAAGUAUAUGAGUUGUAUGGGUCUAUAUCUAAACAACCCUUAAUUUUAUUCAGUAAGCAUAAACACUUUACACUUCAUAUACAGCCUAAAACAAUAGAGCAAUAUAAGAAACUGUUGAAAGCAAACAUUAAAUUUGCGAUUACCCCAAUCUUCUACUUGAUCAUAUACCAAGUUAUUGAAGCUGACAUUUUUUAUUCUAUAAGCUUAGAAAUCAUAAGAAAAACAAUUGUUGAGUUGAUAGUAAUCUCAAAUAGCAAUCUCUAACAAAAAUUUGACCAUAAAAAAUGUAUAUCCAUCUCCCAAUCAGUAUCAAUCUUCAUCCUCAACAAAAAGUUUCAGUUUUUCUUGCAAAAACACACAUACCCCAGUGCUUAGUUUUCCAAAGAUUAUAACCAAAUGGUUCAGCUGCUAGUGUUGGUGCCCGAAGCGCUGAACUGAAAUGCACCCACUAGAAAUCCAAAUAAACAACCCUGCAAAGCAACUAAACUAAUUUCAGCAAUUCUACCUAAACAUAAAUAGAACAAUUACACAAACCUUACAAUCAAAGGUCUAAUUUUUCAACUACAUACAACAAACUCAGAUCAUUUAGGUGUGAAUCAAAAUCAUAAAUACCCAAGCCUAAAAUAGAGACUUUAAAGACCUAUUUGAAAUUAAUAUCAUGUAUGCUUUUAGUUUCUAAUUAUAAUGGAAAUGACAUGGAAAAUAUAUUCAUUGAAACACUAAAUGAACAACACAAUAGUAUCACACCACAAAUUCCCAAUUACAGUGAUACAUGCUUGAUCACACAAACUUUCUGUUCAGCAAUCCGAUUAUGAAACCACCAAGUCUAAGGAGUUUUAUAACUAAAAUUCUAGUGGGUAAAGGGUGACAACAUUUUUGAAGUAAAAUUAAAGAUCACUAAACAUAUAUUAGUACAAAUAAAGAUAUACCCAACACACAAGAUCACAAAAGAAGAACUUUUACUUGAGCAGCACAAAAGGACAUCCUCUGCAUUUCAUUCAAAAUCCAACAAUCUGAGCUCAAAAUAAUUCAAAAAUUGUGUGUGAAACUCACUUAUCACUCAAAAUGAUUCAAGAAACUUUUACCUUACCAUAUAUUUGGAGUGCAGUGAGGCUUUGAGAGUUGACACUGUUCAGUGCUCAUCAAGAAUUGUGUAUCAUACUCACUUAUCACUCCCCUAUAUAGGAAAAGAAGGCCAUAAGUAUUAUGGACAUAAGUAAUAUGAAUAUUUUCCUUUUUAUUUCUCUCUCAUGAGGAAUUCCUAUGCAAGGGCCUUUAGCUAAAGUGUUUAAAAACAUUUAUCGUACUCGAGUCCUAAGUUUGAUUCUAGAAGUUAUUGAAAUUUCGAAGACGAUGUGGAAUGCAAUAACAGAUCGAUGUUACUCUUUUUCCUUCCAAGCAAGAUUUUGAUGAGGCCACUCAAAAUUGCUUCAUUUCAAUUUUCAAUGAAUAUUCUACUUUUUUUCGAAAAAAAAAAAAAGGUAAAUUACAUGGUAGCCCCUCAUGUUUGAGGUCUAUUACAACUCCAUACAACAUCUUUAAAACAUUUAACUUUCAUACCUCACGUACUAUUUUAUUUCAAAAUAAUACUUCUGUUACAUUUUUUAUCUAUUGAUCUGUGAAGCACUGACGUGGCUGCCACAUUUGUGCCACGUGGCAAACAAUUUUUUUUUAAUUAUUUAAAAAAAAAACCUGAAUUUUCUCAACCAAAAAAAAAAAUUAAUAAAAAAAGAAAAAAAGAAAAAAAAGAAACCCAUCCCAUUUCCUCGCAACCCCUCUCUCCUCUCUCUCUACGCACAGAGCUAUCAACCAACAACAAUGGGAAUCUCAGUCCCCAGCUUUUUCAAAGAGCGAAAGUUCUCUUUCAUUUUCACACUUUUACUCCCACUUGCCUGCAUCACCAUCCUCCUCUUCACCAAGACCACCACCAACGCCCCUUACCCUCUCUUCUUCUACUCCGAUCUCCAGACCUCCCCCUCCUCCUCCCAACC